AAAAAAAUCCUCUCUCUCGAUUCGAUUCUCAAACAGAGAGAGACGAAGAUCUCGAUUGGAUUCUCUUUUCUCAUCGAUCUUUUCUUAAGAUCUUCUCUAAUGAUCUUUCGAUCUCUUCUUCAAAUCUUUGAUGAAAUCUUCCUUUUGAUCAACGCUACUCCGAUUCAAUCUGUUCUUCGAAUCUCAAGGCUACUCGGUUUCAAUCUCUUCUUGAAGUAACAGAGAAGAGAAGAAGAAAUCGGAGUUUUCAGCUUCACAAUUCUUUCAAUCGCUAUAAAGAAAUCUAAUCGCUUAAGGUAUUUAAUCAAUUUAAUUAUCUAUGUUUUAAAUUUCAAUUUGAUAAUCACUAUUGAUGUUUAUUGCUAUUGAUGUAAAUAUCUGUUGAUUGAAUUUCAUUGAUUGCAGUUUUUGAGGUUUAAUAAUUUAAGAAAAGUCAUGUUUUGGGUAUUGCAAAUAAAGUGUUUGUUGAAAUGUCAGAAUAGUCAUUAUGACAGAGUUCUAUAAUAGAUGAGUUUUUUCACUCUAAUAUGUCUAUAGAAUUAUUGCCCAGGGUCAGGAUUAUAUAAUACCAGUGAAUGGACUAUAAACAAGAAUAUGUGUGUGUGGUGGGGAGGGGGGGUACGAAUUGAAAUCUUGUCAAUUCGAUUUGUCCAUACAAGGCAAUCUCUUGUUUUGCAUUUCCUUUCUUUGCAAUAUGUUUUUCGUCAUCAUUUGCUUUCUUUCAAUUUCUUAUUUUUGUGGUAGCGCUCACACCAAACUUAUUUUAUUGUUACUUGUGGAUUUUGUAAGCAACUUUAGGCAACCCUACAAAAUCGAAUGCCUCCUUUUCUUUUUUUUUUCUUUACAAAUAUAAAUGUCUUUAUGCACGAUAUAGUUUGUUGAAGUGUCAGAAUAGUUAUUAUGACAGAGUUCUAUAAGGGUGUUAUUCUUCCCACCCAAACAAAUUGUCAAAAAACCCAAAUUUUAGAAAUAGUUAAAAGUUGUUAAAAAACCCAAUACUAAUUUACUAUUGUACCCCUAUUUUUGAAUAAACUUAAUAACAAAAUUUUGUCAAAAAACCCAACUUGUUUGGAGAAAAAGCCCACUGCAUGUUAUGAGAAAAAGCCCACUUACAUAAUUUAAUGAAAAGAAGUUUCUAAAUAUAGUUUUUAGGGUUUUGGUGGACAAGAUGAAUACAAAACAGAUUUUUCACUAUAAAGAACACACAACAUAAUAGUUUUCUUCUUCUAAACGGCUAAAUAAAUACUCGUCCAAAGAUCAUAUCAUACUUUUCAAUAUGAUAAUGGAUAUAGACCUCAAUAAAAUUCUUUUUUAGAUGAUUUUGAUAGACAAUUGCAAGUGGAAGAAUAUGGGGAGAAUGUUCCAAUAAUUAUGAUGGAGGAAGAUUAACAAAAUUAGCUUUUUGUAAAUUAGCUUUGGGUUUUUUGACAAAAUUUAACAAAUAAUUAAUUAUGUAAAUAAGGACAAUAGUGUAAAUUAGUAUUGGGUUUUCUGACAACUUUUAACUAUUUUUAAAAUUUGGGUUUUUUGACAACUUGUUUGGGUGGGAAGAAUAACACCCUUCUAUAAUAGAUGAGUUUUUUCACUCUAAUAUGUCUAUAGAAUUAUUGCCCAGGGUCAGGAUUAUAUAAUACCAGUGAAUGGACUAUAAACAAGAAUGUGUGUGUGGUGGGGAGGGGGGGGUUAUGAAUUGAAAUCUUGUCAAUUCGAUGUGUCCAUACAAGGCAAUCUCUUGUUUUGCACUUCCUUAUUUUGCAAUAUGCUUUUCGUCAUCAUUUGCUUUCUUUCAAUUUCUUAUUUUUGUGGUAACGCUCACACCAAACUUAUUUUAUUGUUACUUGUGGAUUUUGUAAACAACUUUAGGCAACCCUACAAAAUCGAUUGCCUUUUUUUUUUCUUUACAAAUAUAAAUGUCUUUAUGCACGAUAUAGUUUGUUAAUUUGCUGAAUAUUCAGCUCAUUGAUGAAUAUUCUAAUAUUGUUCCUUCUAAAUGUUUCAUGUAUGACUCUAGACUAAUGAGGUCAAAGUUCAUUUGAAUUUCUUGUUGAUGUCUUCAUUUGUAAUUAAUUGGUCUAUGGGUUUUAGAUGAGGCACCUCAUCUCGGUCAUAUGUUCUUAAUAGAAACGAACUAGCUCACGUCUUCAUAUUCUGCAAUAGGCAUUAAUUUGGUGUGGUGCUUUUAGCAAUAACUUUCUCGUAAUGUGUCAUGCAAAUUGUGUGUAUCCUAGGUAAAAAAACCCGACAGGUGUCACCGAUGGCUAUAUAAGAAGCUAAACCGGGAGCACCUGAGCAUUAGCCUUUCAUGCCUGGGCUAUCGGGUAGUCACCAACCUGGUCUCAAGGAGUCCAAAUACGCUCUGUGGACCUUGAUUCGUCGGACAGUCCACGAUCAAUGGGUGGAGCCCCGGUUACUCUAUAAGAAGUUGAACCGUGGGCUCCCAUGCAUCGACCAGGUCCACCUCAGACAAGUAGGCCAGGUCUGGCCCAGUAAAGUCCAGCUGCGACAGGGGCUCAUCUAAAGGCUUAGCAUAGAAGCCCAGAGGACCUGGCCAGGGUAUAUGGAAUGAAGAUUGGGCCUUUGGUCAGAGGAGUCAAGCCCAAGUCUUUGCUUCCGGAUUUGGUCAAAUCCAAGUCCCAACCAACUGGAUAAGUCCAGCAAGAUUCCAGGCUAACAGAACCCAUUGUUCUAGCCCGCUUGAGAAGAUAAAAGAAGACCCAGGUUGAACCAGGACCUAUCAGAGGAUGCCACAUGACAGUCAUCCUAGUAAAAAAAGAUUCAAACCAAAGGGAUAACCGCUCGGCAGCAUGCAAGCUAUCUCUACGGAAAGCAUCUUCACAGUUGAACUACCUGAGUUCAUGGAGUCAAAACCGGAGGGGUGGUUGAGUCAGCUUCUUCCGGCCUACUACAAAUACAAGAGUCCUGAACCUCCUGAACUACGAGUCUUUCACUGAGCAGCUCUAUUAGAGCUUAGUGGAAGCAGAGACUUGAUUCCAACUUCAUCUUCUUGGAUACGUAGGCAGCCUGAUCCCGAUCAGGUCCAGUCUCAUUGUAUAUCCCCAUCUUAUCUCUGUCUAGACAAGGCUUUCAUUGUAACUGUUCGAUCAAUAUAUACAUAUCUCGAGUUUGUGGAUCAAAGUUUUGCACCCACACAAAUAUUGGACAAUUUCUUCGUAAGCUACCUAUUUCCUUAAAUUGUUUUAUGUACAAAAUAUCUGGUCAUCUUCAAUAAAUGAUAUUGUUUUGAUCACGAUUUUAUUUAAUUAUCACACCGAAAUUGGCUUCACAUCUGAUAUUCAUGUGCUUUCCAGUUUUCAGGAAGUCUGCCCUUGAUGCACUGCAUGUCCAAUAGCAGUGAUAAGAAAACUUUGAAGAGGUGAUUCUUUAUAGACAAAGAGGUUGGAUAAAUAUUUCCAAAAGGUAGAUAUUUGUGGUAUUGUUCUCUGCACUAACCAGCUAGCAGUUGUUGAUUUUCUAAACCUUUAUUGAACUUACAAACCAAAAAUACUUAAUCUGGAUCCGAUAAAUAUUUCCAAAAGGUUUUUAGCUCCCUUGUCGAAUUUACUAAAGAAAUUGAAGAUGCAAAAGUUCAAAAUACCAAGUUUUGUGUCUCUGCACAUUACCGCAAUGUUGAUGAGAAGGUAUAAUUUGUUGUGAACUUAAGAAAUAAUUUUGUAAUUUAAACUGAUUGUUUCUUAUUGUUCUGCUUCUGUAGUCUUAUAAGUUGGUUAUUGGGUUUCUUUCAGAAUUAGACUACAGUUGUACAUGGUGUGCAUGGAAUCUUAAAGGAUUACCGUCGUCUGCGGUUAACUCAUGGUAGGAAGGUAUGCUGGAGUAAACACAUGAAUAUCGUUGUCAUCUCAUUUUUGGGGAAGACCUUCAUGCUAAUUACAUGUUGCUAAUGUUGUUUUCUUUUCCUGUAAAGGUUUUAGAGGUUCGUCCCGUGAUUGACUGGGACAAAGGAAAGGCAGUAGAGUUUCUGCUUGAUUCACCUUGGUGAGUAGUUAUGUUUAAUUUGUUUCCUAGAUGUAGAAUCUUACCUAUUUCUUUUCUUAUUUUCAAGAUAAUACCAAGUUGAUAUAUUUUGCUUACCGAGUGUUAUAAAUUUGGUCCAGGAUUAAGUGAAAGUGAUGACGUCCUCCCCAUAUAUGUUGGUGAUGACCGGACAGAUGAAGAUGCCAAGGUAAAUACUAAAACAGAACUGAUAUAUACCGAGUGUUAUGAAGGUGCAUUGUUGUUGGUAAUAAGAUUUUCAGAUCAUAAACAGAUAUCAUCAUUAUCUUAAAUAAAAAUGCUCUUAGCUUGUUAGCUAAUAAUUGAGGCCUUGUGUCAGAAUACUAUAUACAGUUUUAUAGUGGUUGUAUAAGGGACCAGUGAUCCCUAAGAAACUAAAUUUACUGCUUAUAAUGUCUGUUAUUUACGAUAAGAAUGAGCUCCAGUGUAUUUGGCUGAACAAUAGAAAUUUUGUUUGGAGGUAUUCAAUAAUUUUUGUUUAAUAGUGCUGUUAUCUCCCAGAAGUCAUAUUUUCGUAAACUUGUAAGAUCAGGCCGCAAUACUCUUGUCCAACACAGUCUUGAUGCUGGUCUAAUUGCUAUUAAAAUGAUGCCAAGUUACAUUGUUAAAAUUGUUUCGGCUAACCUUUGUCAAAGCAACCAUUAUAGAUGACUAUAUUUUUUCCAUCCAGUAUGCCUAACGCUUAUGAGACCGAUGCCCCUCACCAUCCUUCCUAGUUGCCAACAAUUUUAACAAGGUACAGAAUUCUUAAUCUAGGUUACCUGCUUGUACUUCUCAGGUGAAGGCUCUUUAUGUGAAAAACCUACCUGGCAACGCUACUACUAAAAAGCUGGAAGGUUUGUUCCAACACCAUGCGAGGUCACAAAAGUUGUUCUACCGCAUGCUAAAUGGACAGAGCAAGAGAGAUUUUGGAUUCAUCCACUAUGCUGAGAGGUCAAGUGCAUUGAAGGCUGUAAAAGUUUAGAAUUUUGGAUUUUAUGGUGGUCUGGAAGAGUUUAGAAUUUGUUAAUUUGUUAUCAUUGUAACCAUUAUUUUGGAGUUUUGUCAUAAAUUUUGAGGAUUAAGUAAAAUGUAUGUAAACAUUUUCUUUUUUGGAAUUGGCAUCAGCAUGCAAUACUGAAAAUGUAAAUUCAAAUAAUUUUUAUUUUAUUUCCUAAAUUUUAUUUGCCAUUGUCCUUGGCAGUAGCAUGUAGCAUUUAUUUGCCACUGUCCUUGGCAGUGGCAAUUUUGGGCUUUUGCCACUGCCAUAGGCGGGUGAUUUAAGUUUUGGUCACCAAAGGUUUAUACUAAUUGGGGUUCGGAGCUGGUUUUUUUUUUAUUAGGCUUUGGUCAUGAACCGGAGAAAUCACGUGGAAUUCAUGGGAGAUGUAAUUGGCUAGAAAAAAAAAUUGCUCUUAUGCCUGGCACACCUCUUGAUCCACCACCACUAUCACUACUAAUACAUGACCUCCGGUCUUUAAAAAUUUAUGUUGAUUGAUUUCUCCUUUCAUAACCAAAUCUAACACCAUCCUCAUCCCAAUUAUCCCAACCUCCUCCAUUGCUCCUUGAAUUACCACCACCACUUAAAUUGAAACUUAAUUGAAUUUAGGGUUAUUUUGUAUUUGGUCCAUCUAAAAGAUGGGUAAUUAGCAUUUGGUCCAAUCUUUAUCGUUUAUUAGUAAAUGGUCCCUCUUCUGUCACUUGACUGUUAGUCAACCCAGUUGACCAGAGUCAAGGCAUCCAUAUUUUUAUAAUGACCAAACUACCUUUUCACGUGACUAGUACGUGGCAAAACUUUAAACUCAAAAAACGCAAUUUUGUUGUUUGUAAACAUGCAAAAUUAGUUUAUAGUCCUCCUUUUUCAUAUUUCGUUUUAAAUGUAGUCCCUGUAAAUAGUAAUGAAAAUAACCAUGGAAGUUAUCUUACCGGAUGGAACUUGAACAUGUAACCACGACCCAUGGAAUGUCUAUAAUUUUUCUUCACUUGAUUGUCAUCUUCACUUGUAAACACAAGAGAAUAAACUUCUAGAGGUUCCAUGGGUGGUGGUUACAUGUUCUACUUCACUCCAAGUAAGGUAAGAUAACUUCUAUAGUUAUUUUCAUUAUUUUUUACAAGGAGUAUAUUUGAAAUGAAAUAUGAAAAAGGAGGACCAUAAACUAAUUUUGCAUGUUUACAAACAAUUAAAUUGUAUUUUUUGAGUUUUAAGUUUUGCCACGUGUUAGGCACGUGAAAAGGUAGUUUGGUCAUUAAGAAAGUAUGGAUGCCUUGACUCUGGUCAACUGGGUUGACUGACAGUCAAGUGAUGAAAAGGAGACCAUUUACUAAUAAACGAUAAAUAUUGGACCAAAUGAUAAUUACCCAUCUCCUAGAGGGACCAAAUACAAAAUACCCCUUGAAUUUAACUUCUUAUAUCCUCCAUCUUCCAUUUUCUGCAAUUUAAUCACAAAUCCAGUGUUAUAGAUCUAACAAAAUUGGUAUGAACACCAAAAUACGAUGAUUGCAUGAACAUCGAAGACACAUAUAUAUUCCAUAUGAAACUGAUCCCCAUUGGGGAUUCAUUGGUGAACAAUCUACACAUAAUUUGUUUUUCCUGGUAAAAUUUCAAGAUGAAGAUCUAAAUCGAAUCUUUGGAUUUGUAUGAAAGAAACUCAUAUGUGUUCUGCGAUUGAAAAUUUCGAUCUCAAUAAAGAUUGGGUAGUAGUGGGGGUGGGGGUGGUGGCCGGUGAUGGGGCAGUGGGCAAGAUAGAGGUGGAGGAAAGGAAAUUAAGAGGGGAUGAGAAAGAAGAAAAAAGUAUAAGCAAUGACUGUUGCUACUUAAACUGGUGAUGGGUUAGCUAUUAAGAGAGAGAGAGAGAGAGAGAGAGAGAGAGAGAGAGAGAGAGAGAGUCGUUGGAUUAUACUUAUCUGGACUACUUUGAUAUUUCUUUCGUCAUGUGCACUGCACAAGCAUUUUUAUAGGGGCAAAUUCAGGUAUUUUGAAAAUAUUGCUACUUAAACUGGUGAUGGGUUAGCUAUUAGAGAGAGAGAGAGAGAGAGAGAGAGAGAAAGAAAUAAAACCAGCUUUGAACCCUAAUUAGUAUAAACCUUUGGUGACCAAAACCUAAAUCACCCGCCAUAGGCUGUGACAUGAUUUAAGGGCAUUAAUAUAAUAAACUCUCACUAAAUAUAUAUUGACAUGAUUUUCCAAUAAUUGUUUUUUCUUUUCUUUUUUUUAUUUUUAUCUAAGCUAGGGUUAGGCAGACCCUCACCCGAUUUCAUUAAUUAAACCUGAAAUACAGUGUUCCAGAUGUAUCAUUAUGAAGAAUUACAUUCAAACCUAUCAUCAAAGGACCUACAAAGAACAAUGGAUCAUAAUGUCCAAGACCUCCUAGACCUGCAAUGUAGUCUGCCGCUUGGUUGCUUUCUCUAUAUGUGUGCCUUAUAGAUAAACUGUCAAACUGCCUGCUUGAUCUCAAUAUGCCAAAAACCUUGUCUCUGCAAUACCAAGGUGCCACUUCCUUCCCGAUCAUAAUCUUCUGUGCUCUGAGUGAAUCAGUUGCAACUUCCACCUUCCUUAAGUUUAACAUUUCUGCACCUUUAAGACUAUAUCCUAUCGCAUCCAAUUCUUGUAUAAGAACUGAAUCACUUAAGGAGCCACCAUUAUAUGCCAAUAGGGUCACUAGUUCACUGUUUCUGAUCAAUCCACCAUAUAUACCCUCUCCUAAUAUUAUUAACUGCACCAUCAGUAUUAUUCAACAUCUGUCUUUUGCCACUUACAUGCGAUUGUGCUCCUUGUUUUGUACCUUGGGCAUAUACCAAGCUUGUCAAGCAAAACUUUUACCUCUUGGGUCUCAUGAAUCUCCUCUUACUGAACUUGAAGAUAGGCAGUGAUUAUGCCUUCCACCCACAAAAUGUAGAGUUCACAUCUAGAUGCUUACGUAUUUAUAUACGGAAGACCUCUUUCUAGGUUGCAGUUAAAGCCUGAAUGAUAUUGUAUGUUCCAUGUGUACUAGAUACACAGAUCCCAAUAUUCAAUUCCAAAAUGAGUCAGGUUUUUCAUUUGGAAGGACAGUUCGAUAGGCUUUGGAUCAGUUAAUAUAAAUUUGGAAUCUUAAUUAGUUGCCAGGGUUUCGUAACACAUGAAUUUGGCCAUUCUUUCUGUUGCCUAAGGUGCUAUAAGUGAGAUUGGCGCCUUGUGCCUCGCCUCGUCUACGACACAUCAUAACUUUGUCUUUUCAUUUCUGAAUUAUUUAUUAAUAUUACUUGUACUUUCAGGAAGCACUUAAUACCGCGACAUCAAUCACUCGAACCUUAAGAGGAGAAAUUGCUGAUGGUCAACGGAAGCUCUUGGCACUUGCAACUGCUGGCGCCAACUCAAAGCCAUCAAUCCUUAUGUUGUGCUUUUGGUAUAUUUAUGCAGUCAAAAGCCUCUAGGGUUGUGAUGCAAAUCCCAUAUAUGCCCCAUGAGUAUUGCAUGAUAUGGCUAGACUUUUGCCUUGGUGAAAUGCACAACCCUGAAUCUUGACGUUCAACUGCACAGAUCAACUUGAACUUGCUUUUUUGUGCAAUGAAUCAUGUAACUAUGUUCAAGAACUCUUCAUGAUGGCGUGUGCAUCCUUGAUUUGAGCAUAUUAUUUCUUUGCAACAGGUUGAGGACUUGAGGCGCCAAUGGAUCCAACCAAAGAACUAUCUAGAUUGAUAUCUGAACGGAAGUUUGAGGAAGCAUUUACAGGAGCUCUGCAAAGAAGUGAUGUCUCCAUUGUUUCGUGGUUGUGUUCUCAGGUGUGCUUUAAUUUUACAUGCGUAUACAUUGCGAUAGAUCUGAGAUGUAGAUUUUUUCUACACUUUAGCAUAUUUGUAUUCCAAAAGUUGGUGGGUGCUUUGAAUCUGGUUGUAUGUUAGUUGUGGGAAGUUUGUAACAAUGACACUAUUGUUGUAACUAAUCCUUGUUAUAUUCUUCAAUGAUGUAUCAAGGUUAUUCAAUAAAUACCUUUUCUUAAUAAAAAUUAAAAACAAAUAGAUUGAUAAUUCUUAAUACCUUUCCUUAAUAAAAAUUAAAAACAAAUAGAUUGAUAAUUCUUAUCUGUAAUCAACCGAGCUUGAUAUUACCUGGCUUGUCAUGUCCUAACGUUGGUCUUUUGUCGAGAAGUGUGUUAUCAAUCGAAAGUAGACUCCAGUUGACUAGCUAACAGCUACUUACCUUUCUAUCAUGUAUAUGGUGGGAGACUGAGUUUGGCUAGCAAGAAGUUGCUGUUGAGGCACAAGGUGAAACCGACAUUCGGUUGUUUGACAUUAUUUUGUGACUUGGUGUGUGCGUGGUUAUCUCGCCUUGAUCUUAUUAUUAGGAAUACCUUGAUGUAUGAGCGUCGUCCCCAGUAUCCUUUCUCUCAUCGAGUCUGUCAGUUGGUUGUUUGGUACAGUACGUACGUACCUAGUUAGGACGUACGUACGUAGGGUUGAACAUAUCUUAUUGCUUUAGUUUGGACGUACGUACGUCCUGUUCAACAGAUCACUUAUUUUGUUCAGGGACGUACGUACCUAGUUAGGGCGUACGUACGUCAUGGUGUAUUUUUCUUUUUCGGCCCAUUUUCUCUCUCCUCCAAAACCCUAAGUAUAAAUAAGUUUUCAACCAAAGAAUAGGGUAGACUUUUGGCCAUCUAAUUGAGGUGUUCUUCCUGAGUUUGUUUAGGGUUGUGUUUUGGUGAUUGAACUCAUCCUUUCCUCUUCAUUCAUUCUUAUUCUUCCAUAUUGAUUAUUGAGAUCGGCUUCGAGUCUUCUUGUGUGUUCAUCAAGAAGUCGAGUGUCUUGUGCGUACAUCAAGGUAGUCUGGUGAAGUCAAGGUGUUAGAGAUAACUAGUAGUGUCAACUCGCAGUGAGGGCAGGUAGUUGAUAGGUUUGUACAUCUCUUUUCAUCUAGUGGAUUUAUUUGUUGUCCCAAGGACAACCGUGGACGUUUCCCAUAUUGGGUUUUACCACGUUAAAAAUACAGUGUGUUCAAUUACUUUCUGUUCAUUGAUUUGUUUCCUUGAAUAGUUGUGAUUGUGGUAAUAGCACUAUUUGUGGAGUUUCACAAGGUACCUCCCUACAUACAACGGAGCGUCUAGCCAACCAAUGUGUAUGAAAGUGAUGCAAACAAACCAAUGUAAGUAGUAAAACAAUUAAACCUACUUACCAACAACCAAACGUAAAGAGAGACACCAAUUUUAACGUGGUUCGGCAAUUGCCUACGUCCACCAACCAAAGAGGAGAGCUUCUUAUUAACAAAUCAACAAAGAUACAAAGUAUCUAACCAAUAGAGAAAAUCUCCCAACAAAUCUCUCACUCACCAAACAAAUCUCUCUCUACCAAUAAUCCUCACAACUCUCACAAGGAGACCAAUAAACAAUUGAGGAUGAUCCUCACCUCACAACUCUCUCAAAGAGAAAAACAACGAUUGAGGAUUUAGGAUGAGGAUGUGGAUACUAAACCAAUCCCUAAGACCUUAUAUUUAUAGCCUUUAGGGUGUACAAAACAAAUUCCUAAAAGGAAUAUCAAACUUAAUCAAAUUGGAAGUCGUAUUCCAAUACCAAAUUCUAAAUCCUUAAUAUGGACUUAGAAAUCCAAAUAUGAAACGGAUUCCUUAUAGAACCGGUUUCCCAACAAUUCUCCACCUCGGUGAACAACCAAACCAAAGUGGUCGGACCAUCUUGUGGCUGCCUACGUACCUUCCAUGGGAUCAAGCCAUCGUAGUUCUUCCAAACGGACAUCUUUCGAUGCCCACUAUGCCCCAAAAGGCCAAUCCCCCUAAGGGGCUAAAUCAGAACAAAUGCCCAUCAAUGCCCGUAAAGGGUUAAUGCCCCAAAGGGCCAACAAACAUACAUCAAAACAAUGGGGUCGAAACUACUAAAUACCAUAUCCACUUUAUGACCAUAACCACCUGAAGAUGAGUAUGUAUCAAUACCCCGAAACCCACUAAGGUCUCCAACCAACGGCUUCACAGCUACAACUGGUUCAUGGGUUUGAACCUUCCAACAAACAUUUGUGGCUAACAAACUAACAUCUGCUGUGUCACCAAACAAACUUUCAUAAGGAGCGUCAUCAGUCUCCACCUGCUGAGAUAUCUCUUCCAACUUCCAACUAUCAUCCAAACAAUGAUGCCUAAAAGAAACUUUACGUACCUUACCACCAUUCAACAAGCCAUGCUUGCCGGUACGUCUACCAAAGCCACAAUUAACCAAACUAUCCGACAAACUGGGAGGAGUCAAACAAUCAACCAAAUUGGGAGGAAUACCUCUACCACCAGCAGUACCAUUAAGAUAGUACAAAUUCUUUCUUCUUGUCCCUUUCAUAACAACCAAUGCACAAGAAACAACCCUUAAAGCCUCAUCUUGCAAAACAAUAUUCAUACCAACAGACUCUAAGGUUCCAUAAAAGAUGAGAUUCAAUUUCAACUUCGGAACAUACCGAACACCAACUAAUUCUUUAACUGUACCAUUCUCCAACUUCAACUUGAUAGUUCCCACACCAGAUGUUCUGCAGGUACGGCUGUUACCUAGCAAAACUUUAUCAUUUAGCUUUUUAAAGCUACCAAACAAAUCCCUGUUGGGAUACAUAUGGUGAGAACCACCAGGAUCCAUAAUCCACUCCUUAGUAGGACAAUCAACAAAAACAACAAAAGAAUAAUUGGAAUCAUCAUCAACUUCAGCUUGUGCAAUAUUUGCAUUCUUAUCUUUUGAGGAUUCGAAAUCAUUCAAUUUCGACAACUUGGGACAAUUGAAUUUCCAAUAUCUUUUUCCACGACAAAAGGCACUUUCAUCAUCAGACAAAGCCCGCGAACCAACUCUCGACUUAGAUCGAGAUCUUCCUUCUCUACCAGUACUACGAUCUUUAACAAAUUCUUUCCCCGUCAACAAAGUGGUGGACAAAUGGUCAUAUUCAUCGGGGAAAGUUUUCAAACGAAUUCCUUUCAUACCUUUCAACUCGAACCCGAAGAUAUAUCCGACAUAGUACCAAUCACUUUCAAACACCAGCAAACCAAUCAAACAAACGAAACCCCAAAGAGUUUCACAACAACAACAACAAGAAAACCCAAGAUUGGAUUUUCAACAAAUCUGAAAAAACAGAACCGUCAACUUCAAAGAAUUACUGUUGAUUUUCCAACCCAAAAAACGGAGAACUCACCAUACACUGUUAGAAAGAGUGAAGAGUCUACUUUCCAACCCAAAAAACGGAUCUAAGUUUCGAUAUCUGAGUACAAAGUUAUGGGCGUUUUACCACAGGGUGUCGAAUCUGGACAGAUUCCUAAAACCUGAACAAAACCCUACAAACAAUGUUCUGCAAUCCCUUCUACAACCCAAAGGAAUAACCUUCAGCUCUUGAUACCAAUUGUUGAGGCACAAGGUACCUCCGAACAUAAAACGGAAGCGUCUAACCAACCAAUGUGUAUGAAAGUGAUGUAAACAAACCAAUGUAAGUAGUAAAGCAAUUAAACCUACUUACCAACAACCAAACGUAAAGAGAGACACCAAUUUUAACGUGGUUCGGCGAUUGUCUACGUCCACCAACCAAAGAGGAGAGCUUCUUAUUAACAAAUCAACAAAGAUACAAAGUAUCUAACCAAUGGAGAAAAUCUCCCAACAAAUCUCUCACUCACCGAACAAAUCUCUCUCUACCAAUAUAAUAAUCCUCACAACUUUCACAAGGAGACCAAUAAACAAUUGAGGAUGAUCCUCACCUCACAACUCUCUCAAAGAGACAAACAACGAUUGAGGAUUUAGGAUGAGGAUGAGGAUACUAAACCAAUCCCUAAGACCUUAUAUUUAUAGCCUUUAGGGUGUACAAAACAAAUUCCUAAAAGGAAUAUCAAACCUAAUCAAAUUGGAAGUCGUAUUCCAAUACCAAAUUCUAAAUCCUUAAUAUGAACUUAGAAAUCCAAAUAUGAAACGGAUUCCUUAUAGAACCGGUUUCCCAACAUGUAUUGCAUUUUAUAUAAAUUUGUAUAUCUAUCAUCCACUAUACUACUGACGCUUUAUUAAACUUGCAUUUCAGUUACAGGUAGAUCCUUUAGUUGUCUAUUGUUGUAAGUUUUCUUUUUUCUAACUAUCCUGGUCUCGCCUCUUCCAUUAGGUGGAUUUGCAGGGAAUUAUGGCAAUGGUGCCUCUCCCUUUGAGUCAAGGUGUUCUUUUGGCUCUUCUCCAGCAAUUGGCAUGCGAUAUCAGCAAGGAUACAUCCCUAAAUCUAACAUGGAUGAUGGAUGUGGCGGUUGCCAUAAACCCAGUGGAUCCAAGAAUCGCUAUGCAUAUUCUACCAAUCUUUGAGCAGGUUUACCAGAUGCUUGGCCAUCAUCGUUCUCUACCGACAACUACUUCUGCUGAAGCUUCUAGUUUCCGCCUUCUCAUCCAAAUCAUCAACUCAGUGUUGGUGAACUGUAAAUGAACAUAUAGUGUAGAGUUACUGUUAAUGAGCGUUUGAGCAUUGGUAGAUUUGUAUAGAAAAGGAGUUCCAGGAUUUUAUUUUGGGAGAGUAGGUUUUUUUGUCCCCAUUAAAUACGUCUCCCAAAAAUGGCAUGGCUGCUAUUCCUUGUGUACUCCUCAAAUACAAUGUCUGCUUUAUGAUUUUUGUUCAUAUUUUUGAAUUAGUUUCUGUCAGCUGAAAACUAAGCCCUUGUGUGACUUUACAUUAUAUGUUGUUGGGUCUUUUAUCACUGUAGUGGUGGGUGACAUUUUUACAGUGACCCUGUAACAUGGUGUAGUCUAAUUUCCUGGCAACAUGAAUUAUUUAUUGUAAAAUGUCUGCAUUCAGGAAAAUCUUUUCAAAGGUUCCCCAUACUGUUGAUCUCCAUAGUGGACUGGAAUUCAGUAUCUGUGUAAGAUUAAACAUCAUUGUGUACUGACCCAGAAAUUUCUGCUGAACUCCUAGUUGUGGCAUUCUUUGUGCUUAUGCCUUAGGGUUCCCUUUUCACAACAAAACUCUCGUCUCUUGGAUGCUGAAAGUUCAGUUUCCUCCAAGAUGUGAGAGCCUUGAGUUUCCUGGCAAUUGUAACACCCUGGGUUGGCUGGUGGUUUGCCGAGGGGGUGGGUCCAACGGAACUAAGAGGGGGAUGUCCGGGCAUUGGAAUAUAGGUAUAGAUCCGUAAUAUAUAAUCACCGAGGCCUUUUGGGUUCAUUUGGCUCUAGAUAUCGAAAGAACUCCGGAGUUAAGCGUGCUCGGGUGGGAGUAGUUUCAGGAUGGGUGACCUCCUGGGAAGCAAGCUCCUGCCCAAUAAAAACCCCACACUGUCGGACGUCCGCAGUGGCUAAGUGGGGACAAUAUCGAUGGUGGUAUAGGUCGGGUCGCUACAAAUGGUAUCAGAGCCGACGAUGGUUCUCCUGUCGAGGGUGGGAGAGUAUGCUGGAAAGGCGCCUAGCCCAGGAAGGGGUCAGUUACGCCAGGUACUCAUCUCGCGAGGGGUAGGGAAUGUCGAAGAUCUGGGGCUGUAUAUUCCAGAGCUGAGGACGACUCUCCUCUAAGGUGGUGGGAUUGUAACACCCCGGGUUGGCAGGUGGUUUGCCGAGAGGGUGGGUCCUACAGAACUAAGAGGUGGAUGUCCUGACAUUGGAAUAUAGGUAUAGAUCCGUAAUAUAUAAUCACCGAGGCCUUUUGGGUUCACUUGGCUCUAGAUAUCGAAAGAACUUUGGAGUUAAGUGUGCUCGGGUGGGAGUAGUUUCAGGAUGGGUGACCUCCUGGGAAGCAAGCUCUUGCCCAAUAAAAACCCCACACUGUCGGACGUCCGCAGUGGCUAAGUGGGGACAAUAUCGGUGGUGAUAUAAGUCGGGUCGCUACACAUUAGGCAUGGACGCAUCACCCAUGGUGCUAAUGGCCUUCCCUAAAUCAGUAUUGAGGAUUUUAUGUGCUGUUAAAUUCAUGGAUGAUCAGCAAAAAUGCACUUGUGGUGUUUUAGGCUUGUCAUCACAUUAAAAUUUGUCUGUCCAAUGCCUAAAAGUGAAACAAGAAGAUGAAAUUAUGUUCAUUUAUUGGUAACGGUGAGAUGGUUUCCCACCUUCAACAGGUGGGAGGGACAUAUAUUAUAGUUGAAUUGACUACUUCACAUAGUGCCCAAAAUUCCUUUUACAUACAUCCAUUAGUAACAGGUAUACCUUUCUGAAUAAGUCUAUCAGUAGUUAGUAUACUUCCCGAGAACAUCUGCCAGCAUGUAAAAGAAUGCUUAGGAAUUACAAAGUUCCCCCAAACCAGCUUUGCCUAGUUAAUCUUUGGUCUUUUAGGCCUCAAUGCUUUGAAAGCAAUCUUGGUGUUGAACUCUCCUGAAGAGGUUAACUUCCAUAAAAAUUGAUCAUGAUCUGAAUUUUGAAGAAUAGGAGUUCUAAAAAUCAUUUGGUAAAGAUCAGUAUCAUGACUUUGAAGGACAUCUUCAUUCCAUCUUCUCUCACUGAUCAGAACAUGUUGGGAAUAACACCAAUGAUGUGAAACGUGAUCUACACAAAUAAAGCUAUAACCUUUAUCAAAGACAAUGGCUUGAAGUAACUAGAAUAUCAAUCAACCAAGUAAACAAUCACAAAUAACUAGAAAGUAAUUAAGAUAACAAAAUCAAACAUCUACAACACAAGAUAUAUGUGGUUCGGUGUAAGCCUAUGUCCACGAAUAAGAUAAAGAUGGUUUCACUAUGAAAUAGAAAAGAUGUGAUACAAAGAGCGGACUCCUUCACCUCACACAAACAAGUUCUUUCAAGUGAUUCUUGUAAAUCUCUCAAGCACAAGUUCUUCUUCUUUUCUCUCACCUCAAUCUCUUUCUUUUUCUCUCUUAAUGAAUUUGGAAGUCACACAACUCAACUCUUAAAGGUUUUCUACACUCUCUAGGCUUUAUAUAAUAGCCAUAAGAACUGCAAAACUUCACCAUAUACAAGUGUAGCGAAUACUCCAGCAGCUAUGGACAUGACAAAACAUGUGUCCAUCGGCUAUGGACAUGACAAUUCCAUACUUCUGCAAAACUGCAAAACUCCAGUGGCUAUGCAUCCUGCAAAACUCUGUCAAAAUAUUGGAGUCGUUUUUCCUCCAAACUUCUUAUCUCUAGAGGACGUGCCAUAUACCAUUGGAAAGGUAGAGAGUCCUCUUUCUAACCCACAAAACAGAUUGACAUUCUGAUCACUGAGCAGAAAGUUAUGGUCAUUCCAAUACAACUGUCCAACUCCAGUGGCUAUUGACAUGACAAUUCCAUACUUAGCCAAAUUUUCCGAAAUCUCCAGUGGCUAUGCAUCCUACAAAACUCUUUCAUAAUAUUGGAGCCGUUUCCCCGCUAAACGACUUAUCUGAUCACGGAGCACAAGGUUAUGGCCAUUCCAAUACAGGCUGUCCAAAUGAAGAUACCGAAAAAUUGUACAACAAUUCUCCACCUCGGCGAAGAUUCACAAAUCUGAGCCGACAACAUCAAGACAUAAAAAUCCAAAAGAACAUAAGAAACCACCCAUCACCAUCUUACCACAUAUACCCUGAAAGGCCAAAGCGGUUGCACCACUAAGUAGUUGCCUAUGUAUCCUCCUCCAAAGGAAUCAAGCCAUCGUAGUUCUCUUCAAGCCACAAAGGGCUAUCAAGCAAUAGGUUGAAUGUGUAGCAACUUCAAGCAAUAUGUGAACUUUGCUCCAUCAACUACCUUAGUCAACAUAUCAGCCGGGGGUAUGCACUUUGGGAAGUGCAAUCUCACCAUCUUCAAUCACGUCACGAACAAAGUGAUAAUGUACAUCAAUAUGCUUGGUUGUAACAUGAUGAACUUGGUUCUUAUCCAAGUGAAUGGCACUUUGGUUAUCACAAAAGACAUUAACCAAAUUUUGCUCAACACCCACGUCACCAAGCAAUCCUCAAAGCAAUAUAGCCUCUUUUAUUGCCUCCGUCAUAGCCAUGUACUCAGCUUCCGUAGUAGAUAAAACAACUGUAGACUGUAACAUAGAUCUCCAACUAAUCGGUGCACGAUGCAUAACAAACACAUAACCAGUAGUAGACCUUCUUCUAUCUAGAUCACCAGCAUAAUCUGAAUCUGAAACUGGCACUCGGUUAUUUGACAUUAAUUUUGUGACAGUGAUUGUCUCGGUUAUCUCGCCGAGUUCAUUGUUAGGAAAACCAAGUUGUACGCGCAUCGUCCCGAGUAUGUGUCCUCGCGUUCUUUUGUCAAAAGUAAGUUUUGGGGUUUAGGACGUACGUACCUAGUUAGGGCGUACGUACGUCAUGUUAGGCAGCAAACAUAUUUUGGUCAGGACGUACGUACGUCCAAGCAGGCAGCGAACUAUUUCCGUGUGGGGACGUACGUACGCUAUUUCGAUGUACGCAAAGUCCGGUCCAUUUUCUAUGUUUCCAAACCCUAACUAUAUAUAGGGUUUCUCUACCCAAUGAACAAACUAGUUCUUUGGCCGUCCAAUUCAUCUCUAGUCUUGGAGUUUGUUUAGGUUUUGGUUUAGGUUGUUUUGGUGAUUGAACUCAUCUUCUUCUUCCCCAUUCAUCUUCUUCUUCAUUAUUGAAUAGUGAUUUAGCUUCGAGUUUUCUUGUGUGUUCAUCAAGAAGUCAAGUAUCCUUGUGUGUUUAUCAAGGAACUCUGGUGUAAGCUUGUUACAUAGAUCGGCUUUGAGUCUUCUUGUGUUCAUCAAGAAGUCGAGUGUCUUGUGCGUACAUCAAGGUGCUCUGGUGAAGUCAAGGUGUUAGAGAUAACUGGUAGUGUCAACUCGCAGUGAUUGCAGGUAGUUGAUAGGUUUGUACAUCUCUUUUCAUCUAGUGGAUUUAUUUGUUGUAGCAAGGACAACCGUGGACGUUUCCCAUAUUGGGUUUUACCACAUUAAAAAUAUUGCGUGUUCUUUAUUUGUUUGUCGUUUCAUUAUUUGCCUUAUUAUUGUUAUAUUGCACAUAUAUUGGGUUUUCAAUUGGUAUCAAAGCAGGGCGCUUGUUAUGGAGCGUAAUGGCUCACGCGUAGAUCCUAUGAGUGCAAUAAUGGUUCAUGAGUCUGGUCAUAAUAAUUUUAUUGCUAAAUCGUCUAAAUCCACAAAACCAAAAUCUGAUUCUGAAAAGGAUGAUAAUUUGUAUGUUGUUAGCAAUAGUGAUUGGGCUCUUCUUUACACGGUUUCUGCAAAAGAAUGUGAAAGGUUACAAAAAGCUAAUAUUGAUUUGCAGGAAAAGUUCAAUAAAACUAAUUGUAAUUUGUCUACUAUUUUUGAUAAUUUUUGUUUUGAAGAUAAUGGUGUUUUGCGGACUAAGGUUGAUUCUCUAGUACAACGACUCAGAUAUUGUGCAGAAAACUAUAUGCUUCAAGGGGAAGUUUAUGAAUCCAAAAUUGAAAAAUUGGAUAAGGUUAAUCUUACUUUGCAGGAUAAAGUUGAGACUCUUGAAAAACAAAUUCUUUCUGCUACAGAUGAUUCAAGUUCUAUUUCUAAAUUAUUUGAACAAGAAACACUUGACUUGUUGUAUAGAAUUGCAGAUCUGGAGAAGGCUAAUCAUGAAGGUGAAAACAAAUAUAAAUCCCUUUUAGUUGAGUUUGAGGUAACCAAGAAAUAUUUUGCAUCUACUCAACUCAUAUUGCAGAACAAAACCAGAUAUGACCUUCCUAAUGCUAAUUGUAGUCGUUGUUUAUCAAGUGUGACUAUUUUUGAACAAUCUAGCUUGUCUGCCCUUUUGCCUACCCCACCUAUUGAGACUAGACUUAAUAUUAAUACUUUUCGGCAUAUUUCUCGCAAAAAGGUUAAGUCUAAAGCUAAUGGUAAGGCUGUUUUUACUGAUAAGCCAUAUUGUUCUCAUAAUGGAGGUAUAGGUCUUGUUAAGGCACCAUGUUACAAAUACAAUGGUGACAUACAUGUUUUAUCUUCUACUACCACAUCUUUUUUGAGUAAGUCUAAUAUUUUUCAUUGUUCUUAUUGUGGUAGAGUUGGUCAUUUGGAUAUCUUUUGUUGGGAUUUUGAUCAACAUGUUUCAUCCUAUUCUCGUGUUUCUCAUCGUUAUAAUCAUGUUGAUUCUAAUGUUCCUUCUUGUGCAUUUUCUAGACCUUGGAAUUAUAAUGGUUCUCAUCACAGGUUUAAGAAAAACAGGUAUCCCAACACAAGGAAGUCUAAGACUAAGGUGGAAUUAGGUAAGGACAAGUGUAUUGCAAACCUUGUUAAGGGGAAAUCUCAUAUCUUUUCAACCCCCAAGGUGUGCACGCCUAGUGCUAAACAAGUAUGGGUAAGAAAAGAUAAGUUGCAGGUUUUUCUGGACUUGCAAAAGUCUGGUGGUGUCCCAUAUUUGGGAUGAUAUAGUUUGUUUCUAGUCUUGUGUUAUUUUAAUUGCAUAUUUUUCUAACCACAUAGGCUAUUUUUUUUUUUUUUUUUUUUGUUCUUCUGUUUAUGCAUGCGUUAAUUGGUCUUUCAUUAUUCCAUGUAUGUGUUGUAGGAUACAUCCUUUCUGCGAUACUAGUUUAAUUCAAUUGUCUUAAAUAAGUUGCAAUUUGUUUGGGCGGUUUAGGUUCUUUUAUUACUUCUCGUCUAUAGGCUUCGUCUUAGGUGUUGAGGACAUACUAGUCUAUUUAUUGUUUGGAUUCCAUUCUUUUUGGCUAGUUAUAGUUUGGUAACUUCAACUGUGGAUUCCUGUCAAGGAUUGUUGUAGGGCUGCAUCAGACUCCCUUCGCCUUUGGUGGUUUACUGCAUGAUGCAUUUUCAUGUUGUGGGAUUUUUAGAGUAUUUUUAGACCUUGAUCCUUGUAUGAUUAGGAAAUGAUCAUCUGACAUCAUCUCUAGCUUCUGUUUUCUUCAUGGUCAUCAUUCCUUUUAUAUAUACCUCUUGUAAGUGGUCAAUGACUCACAAAAUCCCCAGCCAUUUGAAUGUCUUAGGCGCAUUAUCAGUUGGCUAGGAACCCGUUGGGGCUGUGAGGGUCAUGCUCUGACGGAUGCACUCAGGAGAUGUUAGUUCUUGUGUUGCACGUUAUCAUGGUAUUGCACUCCUUGAGUGUGUUUUGCCGAAAAGAUGUAGGCUACACCCUACCCUCGUGUUUUGGUAAAAGAUGGAGGUGUACUAUACUCACACGAGAAUGGCACUUGUUUUAAAUGGAUAAAACCAAUAAAAAUAUUCAUAUAUAUUUGAACCAGGGUCUUUCCGUAUUGCGGCCUAGACAGUGUUUCCUUGGUUUUUCUUAUGGUCCGGUUCACAUUUCAUGUUUGUCCUAUUGUAAGUGACCUUCAAUAAACUCAAUGAUCUUAGUUUCGGUUUGUUCCCGGAUUUUUUUUAAGGUGAUUCCCUCUUCUAAGUAUACCCGGAUUUUGGUAUAGGUCUACCCUGCUUCUCCUGCAUGCUUGCAUCAUUCUUUUGAGUACCGUGGUUUGGUGUAUGAUUUAGUUCUUCGUUCUUGCAUUUUCUCAUGGUUGAGGCUUGUUCAAAUUGUAUUCGUGCUUUAAUCGGAAUCCUUACAAUACUUAGAAAUUUUUCCAUGUGAUGUCUCUCAAUAUUUGUGUUGUUAGUUAUUCGAUUUGUUUUUCUGUUGUUAAGGUUAGUUCUCUAUUGUUUUUUUUUUUUAAAUUUAAAUUAAAUUUAAAAAAAAAAAAAAAGAGUACGUACGUCGUUAGGACGUUCGUACGUUCAGGGAGACAGAACUUUUUUCUUCUCGAACGUACGAACGUUACUGCAACAGUUUUGGCCCAUAUCUUAGUUUUUAAACUCAAGUGUUUACAACUUUUGCUCAACUGUUCAAAUUCAAAUCGUUACACCAAGUAAGUCCUCCAUAUAUAUCACUACUGUUACACCAAGUAAGUCCUCCUCCAUUCUCUUCUUCUUCCGUCUCUCUUCUUUUUUUUCUCUUGGUGAUUUAUGGUUAUAUGUUUCUGUUUGCUCUUGGUUGGAAGGUUGGUUAUCAUGUUUUUGUCUAGCUUACAUCAUUGAAUAUAUACUUGGUGUCUUGACAAGUUUGGGUGCUCGUGUGAUUCUUAAUGGUUAUGGAACCCUUGGACAUGUUUAGUAUUAUUAUCGACUGCGCAAUAUAGUGUUUUUGACUAUGUGUACUGUCUUGCACACCAAGUGUUUGCUCAAAUGCCUAAAUGAAAAUUCUCAACUGUUUUGGUUGUUACUUAGAGUGUUUUCUAACAUUCUUCGAUUGGUUCCUGUUCUGGGUAUGCAGGACAUGCCUCCUAAGCGAGCUCGGACUACUCCCACCAAAGAAACACCCGGUUCCAAGGGUGUUUCAUCAUCGGGCACACGUCCUCCUCGUGCUCAAAGGAGUAGAGGCGCCAUUCCUUCGGAUUCUUGUAUGCUUGUUGUUCUAGCAUUGGUUGUUGCUACCACCACUUAGACUGCUCUUUUCUACUGUAUGCAGGUUCAUGGACAAUGUGCGUGUCGUCAACUUUAUUUUUCUCUCAGUAACUUUACAGGCAGAUGUUCUUGCUGAAAGUGUUUAUGGCUUAUUCUAUUUUGGUUCCAUUCCUUGGUAAUUCUUUUCAGUCGGUGUUUCAUUGACAUACUAAGGUCAGAUUGUUAGUAUUAUUUGGUUUUAAACUUCAUGCUUUCUAUUUUUGUCAUUGGAUCACAUGUGUUUGAUGUGAUUCUCAAGGUAAUGGUUCUCAAUUUGUUUUAAGAAGGCUACAAGGUAUGCAUAAGCAUAUUUUGGUGAUGAAAUCAUGUUAUUAGUGUAUUCGUUUGUCAUGAUUUAUACUGAUUCAUGUUUUCUCAUAGGUUCUCAUCAUACUUUUCUAUGUUGGGAUAAUAUUCUUGAAUUACCCUGUUGGCUAGCUGGUGUUUGAUUAAAUGUUUAUGAGACUUGCCUAUCCUCUUAUUGUUGCUUCUUGUGCCUGGUUGAUCCUAUUUUUUCCUGCAAUAGGUUUGAUUAGAUGUGUUCUUGGUAGUCUUCUGCAAUAAUCCUCCUGCAAUGGUUUUGGGCUACCACUGUUCUACUUUGGGAUGCAUAUGCUCAGUUUGGUCAUCUAUUGUUAGCAAUUCUCUUCUAUGGACUCUCUAAUCUUUUUGACAAUGUAUGGCAUGUCAUCGGAGUCUUAGUGUUCUGGCAGGAAAUUUGCUCUGAAGUUGGAUUGUUGCUUUGUGACUUGGUGACAUCGAUAAUCCUUGCUCAUUCUUCAGAUAAAGCAUUUUUUUAUGAGUUUGAUGAUUGCUUAUCUUGUUUGGCAUAUGUUGAACUAAUUUUUGGGUUUCACUACGGUGGGCUUACAGGUUUAUUCCUUUUAUGUCUCUAUUCCAUUGUGUUUGGGAUAAUAUUUUCUUCUCUUUGUUUAUAAGAUUCUCUAAUUCUUUUUUAUGGUUGGAUAAGUUGUUUCAGUAACAUGUACAGAUUGGAUUUCCCCAUGGAUUCUCAAUGGAUUUUCUUAUACUUUACAUAUUUCAUCCUGCAGAUACUCAUAUUUCUGUAGUUUUGUCAUGGGUUUGACUAUUUGGUUCUUGGUCGUUAUUGUUAGUUGCCGAUUUCAUUGGGUUUGGUAUUUCUUCUUUUUUGUUUGUUUGCUCUUUUUCUCUAGAUAUUUUCCUACUAUGAAGUCGUUUCUCUGGAGUCUAUCUCAGGUCCUGACUCCUUCUUCUAUGUAUAGGUUUCUCUUGGUUUCUAUCAGGGAUUCAUGUUAUGUUUUCUUUUCUUCCCUCUGUUACCUAUAUAAGUAUUCAGUGUCUUUUCACUAUCUCCUUCUUAUCUAGUUUUGGUUCUUAUCUAAUAUCCCUUCUUGUGUCUGUGUUGGUACUCUUUCUUCUUCAUUUAUAUGCCUAGAUCUCUCUCAUGUCAUUUAGUUUUGUCUGUCAUGGAUUCCAGAUUUAUGGUAAGGUUUUCUCUUUCCUCUCUUCUUUUAUUCUUUGGUUCAUUUUGCUUUAUUCUUGUUUUGAUUUAUGACACCCCUUUGCACCAUUUGUGAUAAAAAGGGGGAGAUUUAUGACUCUAUUGUACUUUAUUGCAAUCCUUUGUUAGUGUAUNNNNNNNNNNNNNNNNNNNNNNNNNNNNNNNNNNNNNNNNNNNNNNNNNNNNNNNNNNNNNNNNNNNNNNNNNNNNNNNNNNNNNNNNNNNNNNNNNNNNNNNNNNNNNNNGAAGUAUGGGGGAGUUGUUCGAGGAACUUCCGUUGGCUCUUUGAUUGUUUCAGAAUUUCUUGUUGCUUCUGUUCGGUCUCUGAUGGUUAAAGCGUCUUACUCAAGAUGGAUAUCAUGUGCUGGUGACUCGGUAUGUAUUCUACUAUGAGUGUUUUUGUAGGCAUGUUUUAUAAAUGCCAUGGUUUGGGUUUGUAUGCACGUUUCAUAAGUGCUACUAGAGUCAUAGGUUUUUGUCACAAAAUCAAUGUCAAAGGGGGAGAUUGAAACUGGCACUCUGUUAUUUGACAUUAAUUUUGUGACAUUGAUUGUCUCGGUUAUCUCGCCUUAAGUUCAUUGUUAGGAAAACCAAGUUGUACGCGCAUCGUCCCGAGUCUGUGUCCUCGCGUCCUUUUGUCAAAAGUAAGUUUUUAGGUUUAGGACGUACGUACCUAGUUAGGGCGUAUGUACGUCAUGUUAGGCAGCAAACAUGUUUUGGUCAGGACGUACAUACCUAGUUAGGACGUACGUACGUCCAAGCAGGGUGCGAACUAUUUCCGUGUGGGGACGUAUGUACACUAUUUCGACGUACGUACGUCCAAUGUAAAAUCUGCAAAGUCCGGCCUAUUUUCUAUGUUUCCAAACCCUAACUAUAUAUAGGGUUUCUCUACCUAAAGAACAAACUAGUUCGUUGGCCGUCCAAUUCAUCUUUAGUCUUGGAGUUUGUUUAGGUUUUGGUUUAGGUUGUUUUGGUGAUUGAACUCAUCUUCUUCUUCCCCAUUCAUCUUCUUCUUUAUUAUUGAAUAGUGAUUUAGCUUCGAGUCUUCUUGUGUGUUCAUCAAGAAUUCGAGUAUCCUUGUGUGUUCAUCAAGGAACUCUGGUGUAAGCUUGUUACAUAGAUCGGCUUUGAGUCUUCUUGUGUGUUCAUCAAGAAGUCGAGUGUCUUGUGCGUACAUCAAGGUGCUCUGGUGAAGUCAAGGUGUUAGAGAUAACCGGUAGUGUCAACUCGCAGUGAUUGCAGGUAGUUGAUAGGUUUGUACAUCUCUUUUCAUCUAGUGGGUUUAUUUGUUGUCGCGAGGACAACCGUGGACGUUUCCCUGUUUGGGUUUUACCACGUUAAAAAUCUCUGUGUGUUAUUUACUUUCUGCGUACUGUUUGAUUGCUUGUUUGAAUUUACAUUUGUUAUACUAGCACUAUUUGUAGUUUCUCAUCUUGUAUGCUUGUUGUUCUAGCAUUGGUUGUUGCUACCACCACUUAGACUGCUUUUUUCUACUGUAUGCAGGUUCAUGGACAAUGUGCGUGUCGUCAACUUUAUUUUUCUCUCAGUAACUUUACAGGCAGAUGUUCGUGGUGAAAGUGUUUAUGGCUUACUCUAUUUUGGUUCCAUUCCUUGGUAAUUCUUUUCAGUCGGUGUUUCAUUGACAUACUAAGGUCAGAUUGUUAGUAUUAUUUGGUUUUAAACUUCAUGCUUUCUAUUUUUGUCAUUGGAUCACAUGUGUUUGAUGUGAUUCUCAAGGUAAUGGUUCUCAAUUUGUUUUAAGAAGGCUACAAGGUAUGCAUAAGCAUAUUUUGGUGAUGAAAUCAUGUUAUUAGUGUAUUCGUUUGUCAUGAUUUAUACUGAUUCAUGUUUUCUCAUAGGUUCUCAUCAUACUUUUCUAUUUUGGGAUAAUAUUCUUGAAUUACCUUGUUGGCUAGCUGGUGUUUGAUUAAAUGUUUAUGAGACUUGCCUAUCCUCUUAUUGUUGCUUCUUGUGCCUGGUUGAUCCUAUUUUUUCCUGCAAUAGGUUUGAUUAGAUGUGUUCUUGGUAGUCUUCUGCAAUAAUCCUCCUGCAAUGGUUUUGGGCUACCACUGUUCUACUUUGGGAUGCAUAUGCUCAGUUUGGUCAUCUAUUGUUAGCAAUUCUCUUCUAUGGACUCUCUAAUCUUUUUGACAAUGUAUGGCAUGUCAUCGGAGUCUUAGUGUUCUGGCAGGAAAUUUGCUCUGAAGUUGGAUUGUUGCUUUGUGACUUGGUGACAUCGAUAAUCCUUGCUCAUUCUUCAGAUAAAGCAUUUUUUUAUGAGUUUGAUGAUUGCUUAUCUUGUUUGGCAUAUGUUGAACUAAUUUUUGGGUUUCACUACGGUGGGCUUACAGGUUUAUUCCUUUUAUGUCUCUAUUCCAUUGUGUUUGGGAUAAUAUUUUCUUCUGUUUGUUUAUAAGAUUCUCUAAUUCUUUUUUAUGGUUGGAUAAGUUGUUUCAGUAACAUGUACAGAUUGGAUUUCCCCAUGGAUUCUCAAUGGAUUUUCUUAUACUUUACAUAUUUCAUCCUGCAGAUACUCAUAUUUCUGUAGUUUUGUCAUGAGUUUGACUAUUUGGUUCUUGGUCGUUAUUGUUAGUUGUCGAUUUCAUUGGGUUUGGUAUUUCUUCUUUUUUGUUUGUUUGCUCUUUUUCUCUAGAUAUUUUCCUACUAUGAAGUCGUUUCUCUGGAGUCUAUCUCAGGUCCUGACUCCUUCUUCUAUGUAUAGGUUUCUCUUGGUUUCUAUCAGGGAUUCAUGUUAUGUUUUCUUUUCUUCCCUCUGUUACCUAUAUAAGUAUUCAGUGUCUUUUCACUAUCUCCAUCUUAUCUCGUUUUGGUUCUUAUCUAAUAUCCCUUCUUGUGUCUGUGUUGGUACUCUUUCUUCUUCAUUUAUAUGCCUAGAUCUCUCUCAUGUCAUUUAGUUUUGUCUGUCAUGGAUUCCAGAUUUAUGGUAAGGUUUUCUCUUUCCUCUCUUCUUUUAUUCUUUGGUUCAUUUUGCUUUAUUCUUGUUUUGAUUUAUGACACCCCUUUGCACCAUUUGUGAUAAAAGGGGGAGAUUUAUGACUCUAAUACUAACAUUCGUUUCUUCCUUUGUUAGUGUAUUCUUGGGUCAUGUUUCAGGUAUACUACAUGUAUGGGGGAGUGAAAGUGAUAAUGACCACAAAGUGCAUGUACAGUUUUGGGUAAGCUCGAGUAUUAAACCUUGGAGCUCAUGAAGUAUGGGGGAGUUGUUCGAGGAACUUCCGUUGGCUCUUUGAUUGUUUCAGAAUUUCUUGUUGCUUCCGUUCGGUCUCUGAUGGUUAAAGCGUCUUACUCAAGAUGGAUAUCAUGUGCUGGUGACUCGGUAUGUAUUCUACUAUGAGUGUUUUUAUAGGCAUGUUUUAUAAAUGCCAUGGUUUGGGUUUGUAUGCACGUUUCAUAAGUGCUACUAGAGUCAUAGGUUUUUGUCACAAAAUCAAUGUCAAAGGGGGAGAUUGAAACCGACACUCUGUUAUUUGACAUUAAUUUUGUGACAUUGAUUGUCUCGGUUAUCUCGCCUUGAGUUCAUUGUUAGGAAAACCAAGUUGUACGCGCAUCGUCCCGAGUCUGUGUCCUCGCGUCCUUUUGUCAAAAGUAAGUUUUUAGGUUUAGGACGUACGUACCUAGUUAGGGCGUACGUACGUCAUGUUAGGCAGCAAACAUGUUUUGGUCAGGACGUACGUACCUAGUUAGGACGUACGUACCUAGUUAGGACGUACGUACGUCCAAGCAAGCUGCGAACUAUUUCCGUGUGGGGACGUAUGUACGCUGUUUCAACGUACGUACGUCCAAUGUAAAAUCUGCAAAGUCCGGCCUAUUUUCUAUGUUUCCAAACCCUAACUAUAUAUAGGGUUUCUCUACCCAAUGAACAAACUAGUUCGUUGGCCGUCCAAUUCAUCUUUAGUCUUGGAGUUUGUUUAGGUUUUGGUUUAGGUUGUUUUGGUGAUUGAACUCAUCUUCUUCUUCCCCAUUCAUCUUCUUCUUCAUUAUUGAAUAGUGAUUUAGCUUUGAGUCUUCUUGUGUGUUCAUCAAGAAUUCGAGUAUCCUUGUGUGUUCAUCAAGGAACUCUGGUGUAAGCUUGUUACAUAGAUCGGCUUUGAGUCUUCUUGUGUGUUCAUCAAGAAGUCGAGUGUCUUGUGCGUACAUCAAGGUGCUCUGGUGAAGUCAAGGUGUUAGGGAUAACCGGUAGUGUCAACUCGCAGUGAUUGCAGGUAGUUGAUAAGUUUGUACAUCUCUUUUCAUCUAGUGGAUUUAUUUGUUGUCGCAAGGACAACCGUGGACGUUUCCUAUAUUGGGUUUUACCACGUUAAAAAUAUUGUGUGUUCUUUAUUUGUUUGUCGUUUCAUUAUUUGCCUUAUUAUUGUUAUAUUGCACAUAUAUUGGGUUUUCAGAAUCCACAUACCCUUUGACAUGAAAAGUGUUCACAAACCCUUUGAUAUGACAAACAUCUUCAACAAAGACCAAACCCACAUCCAAGGUACCCUUCAAGUAUCUCAAAAUCCAUUUCACAGCCUCCCAAUGUUAAGAACCCGGAUUAGCCAUGAAACGACUAACCACACUCACGGCUUGUGCAAUGUCUGGGUGAUUGCACACCAUAGCAUACAUGAAAGAACCAACCGCGCUAGCAUAAGGAACUUUGGCCAUGUACACCCUUUCUUUUAUGGUAGUAGGGGAGAGUUUAGCCGAAGCUUGAAGUGAUUACCUAAUGGAGUAGAGACCGACGUUGCAUCCUUCAUGUUGAAACGAGCAAUGACCUUCUCAAUAUAAGAUCUCUGAGAUAAACAAAGUCGAUGUUGCUUCCUCUUCCUCUUAAUCUCCAUACCCAAAAUCUUUUGAGCUCCACCCAAGUCUUUCAUCUCGAACUCCGAAUUAAGUUGAGAUUUCAACAUUUCUAUCUCCACCAUGCUCUUACAAGCAAUGAGCAUAUCAUCAACAUAGAGCAAAAGAUAGAUAUAGUCACCACCACGAAGUUUACGAAAGUAAACACAACAAUCAUACUCACUUCGGGUAUAGUCAUGUUCUCUCAUGAAAGCAUCAAACCAUUUGUACCAUUGUCGAUGUGAUUGCUUCAACCCUUACAAAGAUUUCGUGAGCUUACAUACAUGAUCUUCCUUAUCGACAACUUUAAAACCCUCCGGUUGUCGCAUAUAAAUUUCUUUUUCCAAGUUACCAUGCAAGAAUGUAGUUUUCACAUCAAGUUGCUCUAGCUCAAGAUCAUAAUGAGCUACCAAACUCAACAAUACACGAAUAGAAGUAUGUCUUAAUUACCACCGGUGAAAAAAUCUCAUUGUAAUUAACUCCUUCCUCUUUUGUAAACCCCUUUGCCACUAACCUUGCCUUGUACUUCAUGUCACUGGAUUCAUGAGGAGUAUCCUUCUUCUUGUAAACCCACUUGCAACCAACAGUUUUCUUGCCCUUAUGCAAUGGAACUAAAUCCCAUGUGUCAUUCUUGGAGAGAGACUCCAUCUCUUCUUGCAUUGCAAUAAAUCAUUUCUCACUACUAGAGCGAUUCACGGCAUGCUUAUAUGAAAUAGGCUCAUCAUCUUCCAUGGAUAAGGCAUAUCCUACCACAUUAGCUUUAUCAUGUUUCAAUGGUUCUUCAGGUCCAUACUUGUAGACUUCUUUAACCUCUCUCUUUGUCCUAGUGGAAGCCAAAGAUUCUUGUUGCACGAGUUCUUGUACUUGAACUUCCUCCUCUUGUUAAUCCUCUUGUGGUUUUACACAUUCAUCAAAAUCAUAAUGAGCCACCACAUUUUUCCUUGUUGCAACAUCAUGCAACCCAAUCUCAAUGUGUUGAGAUUAACUAGAUUCACCAGAUUCACCAUCAUCUCUUAAAGCUUUCUCCUUGCUAGAAACCAACAUAGAAGAUUCCCUUCCGAAAGAAUAUGGCUUUCUUGGCUCUUGGAUGUAGCUUCCCUUCCGAAACAUGGUAGUAAGCUUUACACCCAAAUGUACGUAAAGAACUAUAAUCAGCUGGUUGUCAACAUCUCAUAAGGUGUCUUGCAAUCUAAAGCUGCAUGUGGUGAUCUAUUUACCAUGUAACGGGCCAUGGAGAUAGCCUCGGCCCACCAUUCCUUGCCUAUACCGGCAUUAGAUAUCAUACACCUUGCUUUCUCAAGAAGAGUUCUAUUCAACUUUUCUGCUAACCCAUUUCGUUGCGGCGCCUUUUUCACGGACCAAUGUCUAAUAAUACCUUCUCGAGAACAAAACUCUUUGACAAGGAUGAUAAGUGUACUCGGUACCAUUAUAGGAUCUCAAUGUCUUCACCUUUCUUCUAUCUGGUUCUUUUCUCAACCAUUGCUAGCUAUUUCUUAAAUGUCUCAAACACUUCAUCCUUGGAUUUCAGAAAAUACGUUAUACCCAAACAUAUAUCGGCUAUAAUUAUCAACGAAUGAGACAUAAUAUCGAGAACCUCCUUUAGAAGGAAUUUUACAAGGUCCCCAUACAUUAGAAAGCACUUAAUCAAGGAUACCAUCGGUCUUGUGUUUGCUUGUAGUGAACUUCACUCUACAAUGCUCACAAAAGUCCAUACACGGUUUCUUCAUGUCUUUCAACAACCCUUGCUUACACAAAAUUGACAAUCCCUUUUCACUUAUAUGCCCAAGACGCAGAUAUAUGCCAAAGUCUAGUACAAUUACUUAUAAAACCACUAAGAAUUGCAACAUUAUUGGUCACGGUACUACCCGACAAAGUAUACAAGUUACCAUGUCUAAUACCUUUCAUCACGACCAAAGAACCACGAAAGACUUUUAGAAUUCCACCUUCGCCAACAAACGAGUUGCCAUUUGGUUCUAGGAAGCCAAAAGAAAUAAGAUUUUUCUUGAGAUCGGGAACAUACCUUACUUCGGUUAAGGUCCUCACAACACCACCAUACAUCUUCACAUUGAUUGUGCCGAUUCCAAUUACUUUGCAAGAAUCGUCGUUUCCCAUCAAGACGAUACCUCCAUCAAUCCUCUUAUAGGUAGCAAACCACUCAUUCUUUAUACACAUAUAGUAGGAACAUGCGGAGUCAAGAAUCCAUCUAUUUGACAUAUCACUAUCUUGAGAUGACCCAAAGAAACACACAUCAUCAACCUCGGAUUCCGAAGCAUCUUGCUUUCUCCUUAGCAUUCUCUUUCUUCUUGAACUUCUUCUUGUUUUUUUCUUAAGUUCUUUACAAUAAUUAGCAUAAUGACCUCUCUCGUUGCAAUUGAAGCAUUUUACUUUCUCUAAGGGCAUCCUGGACAUGGAUUUAGAUCUUCUUUUACUUGUAGAUGUCAUCUCAUUUGACCGUCCUCUAACUGUCAAGCCUUGAGCUUGAUCUCCACCACUUUCCAUAUCUGUGGCGUGCUUGCGAGUGUCACUAGACAAGAGAGUCGCACAUACCUCUUCAUAAGUGACCACGUCCUUCCCAUAUAACAUGGUUUGGAUUAAACCCUCAUAUGAAUUAGGUAACGAGAACAUGAGAAUAUAGCUUAGUUGCUCAUCAUCUAUCUUGAGGUCUACAUCAUUUAAAUCUGACCUUAUACGAUUGAACUUCACAAUGUGAUCCCUCAUUGAAGUUCCCGCUUCCAUCUUCACGGUGUAGAGUUGCUUCAUAACAAGCAUCUUGUUCAUAAGAUUCUUUGUCAUGUACAAAGUCUCAAACUUUAACCACAAACCCGCGACGGUAGUUUCAUCUUUGACAUUAUAAACAACUUCUCUACCAAACAAAGACAUAUUGAAGGUACUGCUUCAAGACCCAUCUCAUUGAAAUCAUCUACACUCAUUGUGAUGUAGGACAGAACACAUACUCCAAUUGGUUUUCUAUUUGGGUUUAUGAUUUGUUUCAUCUGAGUUUGCCAAACCCCAAAAUCCUUCUUCCCAUUGAAUUUCCCAAUCUCAUACUUCCCCACAUUUGGAAUACUACCUUUACGAUCCAUUCUAGCAAUUACCAAACCCAAAAUCUCUUUCAGGAAAUUCUUCAAACACCUUAUCUUCAAUAACUCUCAAACACUUUAGAACAAACUUGAAUCGCCAAGAUUGAGCCAAAGCUCCUGAUACCAAAUUGUUAGGAAUAACGCCAAUGAUGCAGAAGCGAUUUGUUCACAACGUGAUCUACACCAGUAAAGGUGUAACCUUUAUCAAAGACAAUACCUUGAAGUAACUAGAAUAUCAAUCAACCAAGUAGACAAUCACAAAUAACUAGAAAGUAAUUAAGAUAACGAAAUCAAACAUCCAUAACACAAGAUAUACGUGGUUUGACGUAAGCCUACGUCUACGGGCAAGAUAAAGAUGGUUUCACUAUGAAGUAGAAAAUAUGUGAUACAAAGAAUGGACUCUUUCACCUCACACACACAAGUUCUCUCAGGUGAUUCCUGUAAAUCUCUCAAGAACAAGUUCUUUUUCUUUUCUCUCAUCUCAAUCUCUUUCUUUUUCUCUCGUCAUGAAUUUGGAAGUCAUACAACUCAACUUUUAAGGUUUUCUACACUCUCUAGGGUUUAUAUAGUAGCCAUACAUGGUUUUUUAGGUUUACCACGUUAUUGGCCUAGAUUGGGCCGAUAAGAACUUCACCAUAUACAAGUGUAUCAGAAACUCCAGUAGCUAUGGACAUGACAAAACAUGUGUCCAGCGGCUAUGGACAUGACAAUUCCAUACUUGGCCAAAUUUCCCGAAAUCUCCGGUGGCUAUGCAUCUUGCAAAAAUCUGUCAGAAUAUUGGAGCCGUUUUUCUGCCAUAAUAAUUACUUCCAAAGGACGUGAUCGACAUUCUGAUCAUUGAGCAGAAAGUUAUGGUCAUUCCAAUACAACCGUCCAACUCUAGCGGCUAUGCAUCCUGCAAAAUAUUGUCAGAACUUUGGAAAGCUGAGAAAGUCCUUUUUUCUAACUCAGAAAACAGAUCAACAUUCUGAUCACUGAGCUUAUGGCCAAUCCAAUACAAACUGUCGAAAUGAAGAUACGAAAAAACGGAACAACAGAACAUCCACUUUAGAAUUAACAGGGAAUGUACUACUCUAUUGUUGCCUUGCUGCAUUGUUGUACCAGAAAGGAAUAGCACUACACCAGGGGUCAUGCCAUAAGAGGGUUUCUUUUCCAUCAGCUAUCUCAUAUGUAAUGAAGUUGGGAGCCUGUUCUAUAGCUUUGAGAACACACCUACAUAUCCAUGAGCAAUCAUUGGGGAUCUUCAUAGUCCAGAAAAACUUGGACCUGAGAUGCUUCAGCCAAGUCCAUUGCACCCACAAACUGUUGCCUUUAGAAGCAACCUUAAAACAAGUCCAAGGUAAGCAGCUUGGUUCCAUAUUUUCAUAUUAGAAAUGCCAAUUCCACCUUCCUCCUUCCUCAAGCAAAUAGUUGCCAAGCUAGCCUGGUGCAUUUUCUUACCAAUGGAGGAGCAAUUUCAUAAGGAAAUGGCGCAUUUUUAGCAAUAGUAUCCAACUUUGUGAUAGGGAGAAUAAAAGUUUGAGACCAGUACACAUGUAAAGAUGUAAGGACUGAUUGUAUGAGCUGCAACCUGCCUGCAAAUGAUAUAUAUUUAAUUUUCCAAUUAUAAUUUUUUUGAAGUGUUGUAUCAAUCAGGGGUUGACAGUCCUUAAUGCCAAGUCUAGAAGCUGUCAGUGGCACUCCAAGAUAGGUGACAGGUGGUCUUACAUGCUGAACUUGAAGAAGGUCAGCAAAUUCUUGCUAUCAGCUUCCAUCAAUCCACCACACAGUAAGGACGUUUUGUUGUUGCUCAGUCCUAGCCCUGUGAUCAUAGUGAAAGAGUAAACCUCUUUAAUAGCUAGCAAAGAGCCUUCUUCCCCUUUACUAAAGAUCAGCACAUCAUCUGUAAAACAAAGAUGAGUCAGCAAAUUUCUUUUACAUUUAGGGUGCCAUUUUAGGGUCUUACUCUCAACCGUCCGGAGACCUCUCUUCCCUUCAAAUAAACCUUCUGCACCUCCAUUAAUAAGGAUAGAGUAGUAUGGUGAUGUCACACACAACUUUAUCCAUCUGAUCAUUCUAGCGGGAAUUUUAAUUUUCUUCAGCAUCUCAAAAAGAGCAUUCCACCCUACCAUAUCAUAGGCUUUCUUGAGGUCAACUUUGAGUGAACACCUAUUGUAGUUCACUCAAAAGCUCAUGUGAAAGUAGUAAGUUGUCUUGAAUUGAUCUUCCAGGAAUGAAUGCAGUCUAAUUAGGAUGAACACAAUUCUCUAUCACAUACUUCAUCCUAUUAGUAAUAGUCUUGGAAAUGCAUUUGUAAAUUGUAUUGCAGGACUGGAUCGGUCUAUACUCUUCCACUUUAGUAGGACUCUUAACUUUUGGUAUCAAACAUAAAAUGUAGCAUCAACCCCUCUUGGCAUACAAUUCUUCUGAAAAACAUUUUUAUUAGCACAAGUAGACUCUACUCCCACAAUGCUCCAACAUAUCUUGAAAAAGAAUGCAUUGAAGACAUCAGGACCAGAACUUUUAUUAUCUCCCAUAUCAAACAAGGCUGUAAGUUUGUCCAUCAGCUUACACCAUGAAGUCUGUCAAGACUGGAUGCUUACCUAGUUCUUCCUUCGGUAUCCUAGAAAACACACCGGUGUUGAUGCCAGCGUUAGCACUCCAACACUCAAGUUAGUAUCGAGUGAGGAAGAGAAGAAAACCUAAUGUAAUAGUGUAGAAUAAGAGAAAAAAAACAUACCUUAACCUUAGGGUUUUUACCUAUUUAUAGAGUGUACUCUGACUAUUGUUAUGUCCAUCGGAUCUUAUCUUAAUCCAACGGUUCUUUCCCUAUUACGUGUAAGCUCCCUUGCCUUACAUUAUAUCUUAGUUGUAUUCCAUGACGGAUCACGUGUUCACCAUGUGAUCCAUACAUUCUGUCUCUUCUGGUUUAUCUGGUGCGGCUGAUCUUAAGUUCUUCUAUGCGGCUCUUGGCAAAGUGACUAACACGUGUAAGCAGGCAUAAUAACGCACUUACAUCGCCAAGAUAAUUAUCUCUUCAAUCUGCCCGUUUGUGUCGUUGAAUUUCCUGCCUAAUUGUUAAUUUUAAAUUUAAUAACAUUAAUUAAUCACGUGAUGAGGUCCACAUGUCAAUUCCUCAUUGAUUGUUCACCCGUGAUUGCUGUUUUUAGAAGAGUAAUUAUAACCAUAGUUCAAGAUGCCGAAUCCGGGCGAAAUUUCGAGGUCCUAAAAACUGGCAUAUGCUCAAAAUUUCGACUAUCAUAAUCGGUGAAGUCUUGGUCCGCUCGACUAGAUGAUGCUCCCUUUCUAGAUGAAGAAAGAUGCUCCCUACGUGAUGCUUCAAUAGCCAUCUGCAAGUCUCGCCGCUAUAAGUAAUCAGGGUCCUGUAUCGAACGCCUCAAUGCUUCCUCCAAGUCUCGUUGCGCUCUAGUCUCGUCGCCCUCGUCCUGAGUCUCGAUCUGGUGUGAAUAAGCACCACUAGUCACGGGCUCUCGUUGUCCCACCUCUUGCUCCUGUCGUCCCACCUCCUCAACUCGUCGUCGUGAUCUUCCUCGUCUUGUGUGCCCAGAAGCAACUCGUCGUGCAACAAGUUCUUGUAAAUUACGUUGAACACGUAAUGUGACAUCAGGAAGUACCUUUGUGCAUCUUGUAACAUCAUUCCCAACCCCAGCUAGGUGUUCCUUGAACCUUGUCACCCCUCCACCUCGCAUUUUCUUCUCACAAAAACCACAAACAAUUCAAGUCUCAUCACGUGGCUCAACAAACCCGUACUCCCACCCAAUGUCCCUCUUAGCCAUUGUAGUUCUAGACUCCUACCAAUAUAAAAAUUUAUACAAGUAUAAAUGUAAGACAACAUUUGUUAUACAAGAUUAAUUGUGGCAGUAUAACAAAUACAAAGAUUUAAAUUUCUUAUAUGAUAUGAAAUUUUUUUUUUUAACAAAUUCCAUAAUUUUAAAUCAUCAACAAUUCAGCAAUUAAAAUCAACAAUUAAAAAUUUUAAUUUAAAAUCUUUUAACAAUUUCGGCUGCAACAAUUUCUGGCAGCAACCAUCCCGGCCGGAAUUUGAAAUUCAAAUUUCAGAAAAGAUAUAUAUAUAUAUAUAUAUAUAUAUAUAGAGAGAGAGAGAGAGAGAGAGAGUUGGCGGAAAUUAAGAUGAAAAUCGUCGAAAUUUAGGCCUCAAAUUGCUCCACCAUUGCUGUAAAAAAGGAUAUCCGUGAAUUCCGGUUAAACUUCGGAUAUCCGAGUUUAUUCCGAUAUAUCGGGCGAAAUUGAUACGAUUCUGGAUCGAAUCAGAUUCGACCUGCCGAUCCAAUCCGAAUGCCCAAAAAUCGGCAUAUUCCGCCGAAAUUUCGCGGAUCUUUUCAGAAUUUUCAAGUAUGAUUAUAACUAUCACUAUCUCUGCUUACGUCAGCUGCUUGGGUAUUCUGACCCCUCACGUCGGUUCUUAUUUUCUCAGUUUCCUAUAUAAGGUGAUAUGUAACAUGAUUCUUCAGUUUACAAAACCUUACUUUCUUCGUUCCUCUGUAAGUUUCUGCUUUGGAAUAAAGUGCUCAAGAUUUCAAGCUUUGCGAACGACGCUUUUUGCUGGUUUUCUACUCGAAUUGUUCCUAGUAAGUUCCUUUCUUCUAAUUUACGUCUAUUCCUUCAUUCGAAUUGUUGGUUUCCCUGUAUGUUAGAUAUUAGAGUGUAUUUUUCUAGAGCUCUUUGGUAUUUUCUGUUGUUUCUAGCGUAAGGUUUAUGGAAUGGGAUUUGCAUGUUGUUCCUUGUGUAUUUCUUGAAUUACCCAAUUUCUCGUUCUCCCUUCUGUUUUGGACUUAGUAUCUGUAACGACCCGCACGCACCAUGGGGGCAUUUUAGUAAUCUCACCCAUAAUCUACGGCUAUGAUUAAACUUACUAUAACUUGAAUUGAUUGGCCUUAAAAAAAAUAGUGUGAUUAAUUAGAAGAGUAUAGAAUUAAAAAAUAAAUAAGUAAUGAAAACCUAAAACGCAUUUUAAAAAUCGUUGGAGCUGACAGUUUAUUACUAGAACCGAAUUAUUGGUUUUAGGUAGAAAUGCCCGAUAAAACAAGUAUAAAUGGACUUGUUAAAAAUGGACGAAUUUGGCUUGUUAUUAGGGAUAAUUUAUUUAAUUGUGUUAUUAGGCCAUAUAUAUAUCAUUGUAACCAAGGUCCAAAGUAUUGACCAGAUGGAUAACUACAGAACUAUAGCAUGAGCUUAAGAUUUUUAAGUUGAUAACUAUGAAUGUUAAGCCAACACCUCCUACUUACCAUAGCAUGAGGUGGCUGCCCAGAUUUUUUUUAAUGUGUUUGAAGGGCUAGAAACAAACAGUUCAGAAACCAAGCUAUAACUCUUGUUUAACGUGUAGAACAACUCUUAUUACCAAUUUCAUUCUCUUCCAUGGCCAUUGUAAUUCCAAACUACUGUGUUGCUUAAUGGAAAAGCAAGGCUAGCUAAAGUGUAAUUGAUUACUCUUGAGUGUGCUCUUGGUUAUGAAAAUCCCUGAUUGAACACACUAAUUGUGUGGGGUUUAUGUAGGACUUAGAGGUGGUGAAUUUAAGAAGACUUGUCUGAAAUUUGGUGGAGAUAAUAUGGAAGUUAAAUCCUAAGUUAUUUUCACCAUCGUCUCCAUAUCUAAAUCAAGAUGGCGGAAGUGCGAAACUGUCAUCAAGGCUUACAAAACAUGAUUUGAUCUAUGGAAGCUUAUGUUUGAGGCAUCCAUGGUACUGUACAACCCCACUUGAGAGAUAUUUGCUUAGGUAAUCAUGUGAGAAAGAAAUCCAUAGACUUACAUAGAGUUAUCUUUCAAGCUUUAUAAGUCAAUAAGUCCAAUUGAGUUUCGAAGAGAAAAACUAACAAGGGGAGAAUCAGGUGGCGGGUAUCGAUCAUGGUGGCAUGAUUUAAUAGUACAUAUGGACUUCCAGAUGUUGUUAUGGCGGUAAUAAUCUGGUAUACAAGUUUAAGAUCUGCAGGAGGGUGGUCUUUUCUGUCCGUAAUGGAACUAAGUGAAGGAAAAUAGCAACAAGUCUUACGUAUAAUGUGCAACUUUCUGUGCCGCUGUUUAUUCAACGAGUCUAGCUUAUUUAAAAGACCUUAAUCUGAGUUUAGUGUGUGAUUUAGAAGGUUUUAAUUUCGAAAAAAGGUUUUAUCUGACCAAGAUGGAUGUCUUGGGAACUCGUCGAUUAUUUUCAGAUCACUAUUUCCACCUGUUUAUAUAAGGUAACUUACAUAAUUUGAUUAUGGACAAUCGAAUAUGGGCUUUUUAUGGACCACUGAGAUACCUAGGUAAAUAGACUUAGAAAUUUAGUUAUAUUUAUACUAUAGAUAUUUCGUAAUUUCGUGUACACUUAUAGUUGUACAAAUGUGAUGAUUAGAAGAUGGGCACCUUGACUACAAUGUAUUUUUGGAUUCAAAGAAAGUAAUCGAAGCGAGCAUGAGGUAGGGACUUAUAUUUCUUUUAUACUGUCCUUUCAUGUGUCAUAUUUUAAAAGUUGGAAAUUAAUUGAUAUAUUAUUUAUUGAUGAUAAAAUGUAUGCAUGGUUUUGUUUGGUAUAUAGAUUUUUUUUUUUUUUUUUUUUUUGGAUUGGCAAGCGAGGUUGAGGGGAUCCCUACCCCUUUUUAAAUUACAUGUCGAAACUUAUAUCAACAAUUCGCUGUUGACGUGUUUCGAACCCACGACCUCUUCACUUUGUGAGAGGGGUGCUACCAUUGAGCCACAGGCUCAUUCACAAAAAAUGUUGUGGUAAGCCUGUUUUUAAUGAGAUCAAUAACUCGGUAAUGCUGGCAGGAUUUGAACCCCAAACCUCUGGUAUCAUCACCCAAAGGUUUUACCAGUUGAGCCCAACUGACACCUGCAAAAAAAAAAAAAAAAAAUGGUUUGGUAAGCCUGUUUUUAAUGAGAUCUGUAACUCAGUGAUGCUGGCGGGAUUCGAACCUCUAGUAUCAUCAUCCAAAAAUUUUACCAGUUGAGCCCAACUGACACCUAUAAAAUGGUGUGGUAAGCCUGUUUUUAAUGAGAUCAGUAACUCGGUAAUGCUAGCGGGAUUCGAACCCCAGACCUCUGGUAUCAUCACCCAAAGGUUUUACCAAUUGAGCCCAACUGGCACCUGGAAAAAAAUGGAUUGGUAAGCCUGUUUUUAAUGAGAUCAGUAACUCGGUAGUGCUGGCAGGAUUCAAACCCCAGACCUCUGGUAUCAUCACCCAGAGGUUUUACCAGUUAAGCCCAACUGGCACCUGCAAAAAAAAAAAAUGUUGUGGUAAGCCUGUUUUUAAUGAGAUCAGUAACUCGGUAAUGCUGGCGGGAUUCGAACCCCAGACCUCUAGUAUCAUCACCCAAAGGUUUUACCAGUUGAGCCCAACUGGCACCUCUCGUGGUUUAUCGAUUAUAUCUUCUAUUAAUAUGAUUAGUUACAGAUAUUAUGUUUUAUACUGGAGUUAUUAAAGCAGUAUAUGUAUAUUGAAAUGGUUUUAUAAAUGGAAAAGCAAAUGAAGUUUUUAUUGCAUCUUUUUUUCACAAAAGGAAAAGGGGGAUGGAUUUUGUAUGUGAGAUGUGAGAUCCCAGUUGUAUGUUCGUAUGGUGUGAGGUUCCUGAAUUGGGAAUAUGAUCUGGGUGCUUACACGAACAUAUUAUUACAGAUUGGAUUAUAAUCCCUUCGGCUAGUGUCGUGAAUAGGGAACUGGUUUGAUGGUUGAUAAAUUCAGAGAGUCGUCAUACAUGCUAGAUUAAUUAAUUAUUAUUAAAAUACACUUAUAUAUUAUAUAUAUUGUAUCACGAGGCGGUCUGGCAAGGGAUCUGUGAAUUCCUACAAUAAGGAAUUGUUGUCAUAUUCCGGAAACGACAGUUCUUUCUAGGAUUACAUACGCGUUGUUCACCUUUAGUGAAAUGAAUGAGAACGUUCUAGAGGCGAACAGUGUUGGAUGUUUCCAAGAAUUCCUCUUCUACCUUCCUGGAUUACCAUGCUUUUAGUGGUACGUUGUUGGGGCUUAGUGUGGUGUGAGGAUACAUGUUACCUCGAGGAGGUUUAGACGCGAAAGGUGAGAGUUAGUCCACUCCUGGACGUGUGUCAGCAUCCUGUGCAGUCUACAGUCGUCGAACGGUUGACCACCGUAAGUUAGGGAUUCCUCGUAUCAGGAGGCGUGGUCAAAGGGCCCAUAUGAGCUCUAAAAGAGGGUUAGUGUCUUCGGACACAAAAACGGUAAUCACUACCCGACCGGAUAAUCAGGAAAAUAACGGUGCAAGUUCACACUGGAAAGUACUGAACCAAGAUGAUUUGCCUGGGGCUGGGACUGAGUUCUAGUCGUAAUCUCACCACUCUAAUAUGAUGCAGCUACCCGACUCAUUGUAUGGAUGGAUGGUUAGUAUGAUUAGUAUAAAAGGUAAAAGGUUUGGUUUAAAAGUACUUAUUUAUCAAAUUAUUUACAGAUUUUAUUACUACAGUUCAAACCUGCAUUAUUUCAACUGUUUCGUAUGGUUAAUCGUCAUGCAUGAUUAGAUAGUAUUUUGGAAAUGUGACUCACUACUGAGCAAGUGGAAAUGCUCACCCUAUCAUUAAUCCUUUUUCAAUUAAACAAUUGCUCGAGGAUAGAUUGAUAAGCGAAGAUCCACCACAGCGUAUGUCUUCACUUAUGGUGGAGGACCGGUUAGUUAGAGAUCAAUGCUCCAAACGGUUACUGCUUUAUCUACUACUGAGGUGGAGUAUAUGCGGUAACAGAAUCUUACAAGGAAGCUAUUUGGCUGAAGGGAUUAGUAAGCACAUUCGGGUUAGAUCAAAGUUCUAUUUGCCUUGCGAAGAAUCGAAUAUUUCAUGCAACAACGAAACAUAUUGAUAUUCUCUAUCAUCGGAUUCGGGAUUGAUUGGAUUCGGGUGAAAUUACGGUUGAGAAGGUUCACACGAAUGAGAAUGCUUCAGAUUGUCUUACUAAGCCGGUUUGAGUUGAGAAGUUCAGACAUUGUUUGAACUUGCUCAAUCUUUCUCCAUGCUAAAGAUUGGGUGGAGCACCUCCUCACUUAAGGUGGCAUUGAAACAUAGAGAUAGAUAGCUAGAGUAACUGAGGGAGAACUUUGACAGCCAAGGGUGUAUUGGGUUUAAGGUGAGAGAUUAAGAUCUUGAGAAAGAUACUAUAGAGAUUAUUGUAAUCGGUGUUUCUUAUUUUAUAAUGAAAUCUUCUCAUUGUUCCCCGUGGAGGUAAACUUUGUCGAACCACGCAUAUCUUGGUGUUAUUGUUCUUUAUUGUUUUAUUCUUCUUAUACUAUUGUUUAUUGUUGUUGGUAAUAGGGGCGGAUCCAGGAGGGCUCUGGGGGCUUAAGCCCCCGCUAAGUUUGAGAUUUUUAUAAUUUUUUUUUUAUAUGUGUAUAUUUGCAAGCAAAGAGUCGAACACAAUUAAAACCCUUGUUAACACUUUCUACAUAAAUCACCUACAAAUACAGAAAUUAGAGUAGUGGGAGAUAGAAAUCACCUACCCUAAUCCCUAAUUCCCACAAAUUUCUGAUUCUCUUUUGGUGUAAACUCCCGUUUUUUCAAUCAGGUUUUUUUUCUUCUAUUGAUGGAAUAAACGUUUAAAUUACAGUAGAAAAAAGAAUUCCGUUUAUUUAAUUUGGAGUUUUGAAGUUUGGAAGCAGUCUUGUGAUCAAAAUCAAAUCGUUUAUGCAAGUAUAUUUUCUUGAAGUGGCUUAUUUUAUUCUCUUUUUGCUAAUAUAUUCUAUUGCAAAUAUAAUAGUAAAAUACUAAUGGAUUGAUAUAGUUCAAAGGAUAGUUUAAUUAUUUUGUUUACUCAAUAUUGAUAUAUUGUUUUUACUAGGUUUUAUUAAAUUACUAUUAUUAACGUAAAUUUAAUUUGUUAGACACUAAUAUGCAUUUUGCUGAAACUUAAAAAAAAAACUAAUUAUUUAAUUUUACUCAUAAUUGUUCUUCUUUCAUUGUGCUAUUUACUUUUGCAACUAAUUGACAUGUAACCUUUCAUAGCAUGUAUACUAAUUUUUAAGUUGUUGAUCAGGUGAAUAUGUUAUUGAUAUUGUAUAAGAAAAUAAUUAGUAUUUGUUUAUGUGAAUUUAAUGCGAUUAAAACAUUCUGUUAAAAAAAUUCUUAGUAAUUUUAAGCCCCCGUUAUCUAUAAUUCCUGGAUCCGCCGCUGGUUGGUAAUUAAUCUUUGACAUCAUUGACAAAUGGAUCCUGUAUUGCAAAGGAUGUGUUCUCACGAACAUCUAGAUUGCGGGUUGUUGGCGUUGUUAGGAUUUAAUUAAUCACUGCAUAUAGUUCAACGAGGGGAAUAAUGUACAAGGACAAGCAGCAUGGAAGAAGAAAUCACAUACACUUCAACAUACAUAGUACCUGUUGUAAUUAACGACAAUGCUAAUGCAACAAGUGACAAUGGUAUGGUUAUCAUAAGCUGCAAGGCCAUAAAUUUCAGAUCUUAGUUGUUAUAUAAUUUGGAUCCUUAUUACUCCCUCUGUCCCAAAUUAUAAGUACCUUUUGGAAUAUUCUACUUAUUAAGGGAACAUCAUUUAUUGUUUUGUCUACUAACUAUAUUUCCAAAUUUAUCCUUAUUUAAUGGGUUCCACUUAUAUUAAACAUAGUCUCUACUUAUUUUUAUUAGAAUAUUUACUCUAAUUCCAAAACAAGAGUAGUAUAGGUAAAAGAACAAUUUAACUUUAUUAAUAUAUAUUCAAAUAUGAAAAGGGACAUAUAUUUUGGGACAACUAAAAAUGGAAUUUGGGAUGGAGGGAGUACGGGAUUUGGAGUGGAAUAAUUCUACAAAAGUAAAGGUGUUAACAUGGAAGGAAUGGCAAGAACUAAACACUUAAGUAGUUUUUUGAAGGUUAAUUUUGAUAGUGUCAUUGUAACUCUUUCGUAAUUUUUUCAUUAUCAAUUUAACCACCGUUGUGCGCAAAAAAAAAAAAAAAAAAAAAUGUUACUCCCUAUCCCAAAUUAUAAGUACAUUAUUGUUUUUUUAGUUGUUUCAAAAUAUAUGUCACUUUCUAAAUUUGAACACAUAUUAAUUAAAUUAACUUACUCUUUAGCCUAUAUUAUCCUUGCUUUUUUGCUUAUAUUACACAUUAAAUAAGUGAAAAAUUUUCAUUGUAAAUUAAAUGAGGGUAAAGUUGAAAAUAUAGCUAACGGAUAAACCUUUAAAUGAUGUUCCUUAAUGAGUUGGAUUUUUUAUAAUGUACUUAGAAUAUGGGACGGAGGGAGUAAUAUAUAUCUUUCUCUUAAACAAAAUUUGAAGAACUUAUCUUUACCUUGUAUUUAUGAGUAUCUCUUAUUGUAAAAUUUCUGAAAUUUGUGGAUAAUACAACAGCAUGAAGCUGAGUACCUGACGACCCCGCUACUGUUAAAGAACUAAAAUAACAAAUCUCAACCUCAAGAUAUAUAUAGCAUGUAAUGGACAAUUUUAUUUGCUAAUAUUUUGAUUAAAUCUAUGGGCACAACAUGUCACACUACUCACUCACUCACGAAUCCAAUCAUACAUCUUUCUGAAGCUACGAUUCCAUUGCGAAGCAUAUAUUCCAUCCCAUUGAGCCCUCCUAACACAACGAUACUGACCAAUACCAUCAUUCAUGCAACUUUUGAAAUGCAUGCGUGGAGUAAACAUAUCCUUGUUUACCCACACCAAGUGAUGAUGAUCAUACCACCAUAUAUGACACCAAAAGAGUGUCCUCGGAGUAUCAUUAAACCUCCAAUCAUAACUUUGGUUAAAAUCAACAUAAUGCUCACCCAAAUCAUUGUCUUUAGAUUUGCAAUGGACUGUCAAUGUAUUAUUUGGGCCAAGUCUAUUCUCGAUGUACACUUUGUUAGAGGUGCCAAACACUGAUGAACAACUCCACAAUGUGGCCACCAUCAUAAGUAUCAAUCCAAUAAAGAUUUUCUUCAUAAUAGCCGUUGGUGUUCUUGAUCUUCACUUCAACUGAGUGAAAUGGUUUUGUUUAUCCCAUAUAAAUAGUUGUAAAUCUUCACAGAUACAUUGAAUCUUUCUAGGCUGGGGAAUCUAUAAAGAUUUCUUUUCUGGAAGUUGUCAAUUAAUGAAAUUACAAUGAAAUCUUAGGCUGGGGAAUCUAUAAAGAUUUCUUUUCUGGAAGUUAUCAAUUAAUGAAAUUACAAUCAAAUCUUGACACUGUAACACUACCAAAAAACAGGAUAUUUGCCACUGCACCUGGUUUUGUUUUUGCCCUAGCCCAUAGCAGUGGCUAAUUUGGGUCUGCCAUGUAUCGUGGGUAAACUUUGUUGGGCCGUGGCAACAAAAUAAUAGAUUUUUUUUUCACUUUUUUUAUUUAUUUUUUCGAUUUUUCUCUCUCAUUCAGCCGUAUGUAAAAAAAAAAAAAAACAAAUCCUCACUCUCUCGAUUCGAUCCUCAAACAGAGAGAGACGAAGAUCUCGAUUGGAUUCUCUUUUCUUAUCGAUCUUUUCUUCUCUAAUUGAUCUUUCGAUCUCUUCUUCAAAUCUUCGAUCAAAUCUUCCUUUUGGUCAACGCUACUCCGAUUCAGUCUAUUCUUCUAAUCUCAAGGCUACUCGGUUUCAAUCUCUUUUUCAAGUAACAGAGAAGAGAAGAACAAAUCGGAGUUUUCAGCUUCACAAUUCUUUCAAUCGCUAUAAAAAAAUCUAAUCGCUUAAGGUAUUCAAUCAAUUUGAUUAUCUAUGUUUUCAAUUUCAAUUUGAUAAUCACUAUUGAUGUUUAUUGCUAUUGAUGUAAAUAUUUGUUGAUUUUGUUGUAUGAGAAGUUUGGAGUAGAGUUUGGGUUUAAGAGCAUUCCCAAUGCAGGGUGGAUUUAUCCACCUCCACAUAGGCGCCACGUAUGCGCCACUAGGAUAAAUCCACCUUGUUGACUCAAGGUGAAACUCUACAAGGUGGAGAGUUCCAAAGGGAAGGUGGACUUAAUGUUAAUAAGGAGUGGAUUUUUUAAAAAAUCCGUACGGCAUGUCACAUGCCUGUCCCAAUUUUUUUGCAAAAAAAUAGGGAGACGGCAUGUGACAUGUCGUCCGAGAGACCAAAAGUUUUAAAACACUACGUAAAACUUAAAAAAAAAAUGGACGGCAUAUGACAUGCCGUCCGAUUGUAAUCUAAAUUAGGACGGCAUGUGACAUGCCGUCCGAUUCUACCACCCACAGGUGGAUUUCAAGGUGGAUUCUCCCACCUUGAAAUCCACCUGUGGAAUCCCACUUUUGAAAAUCCACCUUCCCUUGGGACAUUAUUUUGAGUUUCAAGGUGGAUUUAUCCACCCCACCCCCAAAAUCCACCUUGCAUUGGGAAUGCUCUAAGUGAUUUAAGAAAAGUCAUGGUUUGGGUAUUGCAAAUAAAGUGUUUGUUGAAAUGUCAGAAUAAUCAUUAUCACAGAGUUCUAUAAUAUAUGAGUUUUUUCACUCUAAUAUGUCUGUAGAAUUAUUGCCCAGGGUCAGGAUUAUAUAAUACCAAUGAAUGGACUAUAAACAAGAAUGUGUGUGUGGUGGGGAGGGGGGGUACGAAUUGAAAUCUUGUCAAUUCGAUGUGUCCAUACAAGGCAAUCUCUUGUUUUGCACUUCAUUCUUUUGCAAUAUGAUUUUCGUCAUCAUUUGCUUUCUUUCAAUUUCUUAUUUUUGUGGUAGUGCUCACACCAAACUUAUUUUAUUGUUACUUGAGGAUUUUGUAAACAACUUUAGGCAACCCUACAAAAUCGAUUGCCUUUUUUUUUUCUUUACAAAUAUAAAUGUCUUUAUGCACGAUAUAAUUUGUUAAUUUGCUGAAUAUUCAGCUCAUUGAUGAAUAUUCUAAUAUUGUUCCUUCUAAAUGUAUGACUCUGGACUAAUGAGGUCAAAGUUCAUUUGAAUUUCUUGUUGAUAUCUUCAUUUGCAAUAGUUGGUCUAUGGGUUUUAGAUGAGGCACCUCAUCUUAGUCAUAUGUUCUUAAUAGAAACGAACUAGCUCACGUCUUCAUAUUCUGCAAUAAUUUGAUGGUGUGCUUUUAGCAAUAACUUUCUUGUAAUGUGUCAUGCAAAUUGUGUGUACCCUAGGUAAAAAACCCGACAGGUGUCACCGAUGGCUGUAUAAGAAGCGAAACCGGGAGCACCUGAGCAUUAGCCUUCCAGGCCUGGGCUAUCGGGUAGGGCUCAACCCUGUCUCAAGGAGUGCACAUACGCUCUAUGGACCUUGAUUCGUCGGACAGUUCACGAUCAAUGGGUGGAGCCCCAGUUACUGUAUAAGAAGUUGAACCGUGGGCUCCCAUGCAUCGACCAAGUCCACCUCAGUCAAGUAGGCCAGGUCCGGCUAGUAAAGUCCAGCUGCGACAGGGGCUCAUCCAAAGUCCUAGCAUAGAAGCCCAGAGGACCUGGCCAGGGUGUAUGCAAUGAAGAUUGGGCCUCUAGUCAGAGGAGUCAAGCCCAAGUCUUUGCUUCCGGAUUUGGUCAAAUCCAUGUCCCAACCAACUGGUUAAGUCCAACAAGAUUCCUGGCUAACAAAACACAUUGUUCUAGCCCGCUUGAGAAGUUAAAAGAAGACCCUGGUUGAACUAGGACCUAUCAGAGGAUGCUACGUGGCAGUCAUCCUGGUCAAAGGGGAUUCAUCUUCACAGUUGAACUACCUGAGUUCAUGGAGUCAAAACCGGAGGGGUGGUUGAGUCAGCUUCCUCCGGCCUACUACAAAUACAGGAGUCCCGAACCUCCUGAACUACGAGUCUUUCACUGAGCAACUCCAUUAGAGCUUAUAGUCAUUUUCAUUGUCAACAACGUGAUAUUUUUCUUAUAGAGACAAUUGUACAAGCCCUCACGAAGAAAAACCGGCCUCCUUAUUGAAACCGGCACGAAGUGGUUUGACAUCAAUUUUGUGACAAAGUGUCCUUGGUUAUUUCGCCUUGAGUUCAUUGUUAAGAAAACCGAGUUGUACGCGCGUCGUCCCGUGUCCUUGCCUUCGCGUCGUGUGUCAUUGGUGUGAUUUCUGGUCCAGGACGUACGUACCUCUUAAGGACGUACGUACGUAUCGAAUGACAGCAAGAUUGUUGGUGGUCUGGACGUACGAACCUUUACAGGACGUUCGUACGUCACAGCAGGCAGCAGGAGUAUUUUCGUUUGGAGACGUACGAACGUCAUAUCGACGUACGUACGUCCAAAGUGGGCUUUUACUAUUUCGGCCCAUUUUCGGUGGUUUUCCAACCCUAUGUAUAAAUAGGGUUUCUCUUCCAAAGAACAAGUGAGUUCUUUGGCCGUCCAAUUCACCUCUUGUUUCUUGGAGUUUGUUUAGGUUUUGGUUUAGGUUGUUUUGGUGAUUGAACUCAUCUUCUUCUUCCCCAUUCAUCUUCUUCUUCCUUUUAUUUUCUCCUUCAUUAUUGAAUAGUGAUUUAGCUUCGAGUCUUCUUGUGUGUUCAUCAAGAAGUCGAGUUUCCUUGUGUGUUCAUCAAGGAACUCUGGUGUAAGCUUGUUUCAUAGUUCGGCUUCGAGUCUUCUUGUGUGUUCAUCAAGAAGUCGAGUGUCUUGUGCGUACAUCAAGGUGCUCUGGUGAAGUGAAGGUGUUAGAGAUAACCAGGAGUAUCAACUCGCAGUGAGUGUAGGUAGUUGAUAGGUUUGUACAUCUCUUUUCAUCUAGUGGAUUUAUUUGUUGUCGCGAGGACAACCGUGGACGUUUCCCAUAUUGGGUUUUACCACGUUAAAAAUUUCUGCGUGUUAUUUACUUUCUGCAUAUUGUUUGAUUUGUUUGAAUUGUUAUAUUAGCACUAUUUGUAGUUUCUCAAUUGGUAUCAGUCGCUGGGGGCUGGUUAAGGAGCGUCAAGGCUCACGCUAACGAUCCUAUGAGUGCAAUGAUGGUUCAUGAGUCUGGUCAUAAUAAUUUUAUUGCUAAAUCGUCUAAAUCUACAAAACCAAAAUCUGAUUUUGAAAAGGAUGAUAAUUUGUAUGUUGUUAGCAAUAGUGAUUGGGCUCUUCUUUACAGACUUUCUGCAAAAGAAUGUGAAAGAUUACAAAAAGCUAAUAUUGAUUUGCAGGAAAAAUUUAAUAAAGCUAAUUAUAAUGUGUCUACUAUUUCUGAUAAUGUUUGUUUUGAAGAUAAUGGUGUUUUGCAGACUAAGGUUGAUUCUCUAGAACAACGACUCAGACAUUGUGCAGAGGACUAUAUGCUUCAAGGGGAAGUUUAUGAAUCCAAAAUUGAAAAUUUGGAAAAGGCUAACCUUUCUUUGCAGGAUAAAAUUGAGAUUCUUGAAAAACAGAUUUCUUGUGCUGCAGAUGAUACAAUUUCUAUUUCUCAAUUAUUUGACAAAGAAAAACUAGACUUGUUAUGUAGAAUUGCAGCUUUAGAGAAGGCCAAUCAGGAGGUCGAUGAGAAAUACAAAUCUCUAUUGGUGGAGUGUGAGGUAACAAAGAACGAUUUAACGUCUACUCAACUCCAAUUGCAGGUUUUGGACAAAACUAGAUUUGAUUCUCCUAUUGAUAGUUCUACUAGUUCAUCUAGUGUGAUUACUCCUGUAAAAUCUACUAGUUUGCCUACCCUUUUGCCUACCCCACCUAUUGAGACUAGACUUAAUGCUACUAAUGUUCAGCAUGUUUCUCGUAAGAAUUUUAAGUCUAAGGUUAAUGGUAAGGCUGUUUUUACUGAUAAGCCAUAUUGUUCUCAUAAUGGAGGUAUAGGUUUUGUUAAGGCACCAUGUCACAAAUACAAUGGUGACAUACAUGUUUCAUCUUCUACCACCACAUCUUCUUAUAAGAAUUCUUUGAGUAAGUCUAAUGUUUUUCAUUGUUCUUAUUGUGGUAGAGAUGGUCAUUUGGAUAUCUUUUGUUGGGAUUUUAAUCAACAUGUUAAAUGUUAUUCUCAUGUUCCUUAUAAUUAUAAUCUUGUUGAUUCUUAUGCUCCUUCUUGUGCAUUUUCUAGACCUUGGAAUUAUAAUGGUUCUCAUCACAGGUUUAAGAAAAACAGGUAUUCCAACAAAAAGAAGUAUAAGACUAAGGUGAAAUUGGUUAAGGACAAAUGUAUUGCAAAGCGUGUUAAGGGAAAAUCUCAUAUCAUUUCACCUCCCAAGGUGUGCACGCCUAGUGUUAAACAUGUAUGGGUAAGAAAGGAUAAGUUGAAGGUUUUUCUGGACUUGCAAAGGUCUGGUGGUGUCCCAUAUUUGGGAUGAUGUAGUUUGUUUCUAGCCUUGUGUUAUUUGAAUUGCAUAUUUCUCUAACCACAUAGGCUAUUUGUUUGGUGUUUCUACUUUUUAUGCUUUGUUUGUUUAGCUUGCAGAUCAUGUUGCAUGUCUGAAUACAUUGUUAAUAAAAAAAAAAAAAAAAGGGUUGUUGGUUAUUCCUUCUAUUUUUUGUUUUAUUUAUUUAUUCCAUGUAUGUGUUGUUGGAUGCAUCUUUUCUGAGAUAUUGGUUUAAUUCAAUUGUCUUAAAUAAGUUGCAAUAUGUUUGGGUGUUUUCUCUUUCUGAACUCUUAAGUAUGUUUUGGUAUGUAUCAUGCAUUUUUCCUCGCUUGUUUGCACAGUGCACGACAUGCUUGCAUGAUGGGAGUUUUUGGAAACCACUUACAUAUUCUUUGAGCUCAUAGAACUUCUCUAUCUCUCGAGUAUUUAUGUGAUCUUGAGCUAUCUCUCCUUUGUUUUGGUUAAUGUUCAUCUUGCUGUUCGUGUUAUUGAGCAUUCUUAUCUUCCUAUUACAACUCUUGUUAGUGGUCAAUGACUCACUUUAUCCCCAGCCAUUUGAUUGUCUUUGAAGCAAUAUCAGUUGGCUAAGAACCCGUUGGGGUUGUGAGGGUCAUGCUCUGACGGAUGCACUCAAGAGAUGUUAGUUCUUGUGUUGCACGUUAUCAUGGUAUUGCACUUCUUGAGUUUGUGUUUGUCAAAAAGAUGUAGGCUACACCCUACCCUCGUGUAAUUGAAAAGAUGGAGGCAAAAGCCCCUCCCACAUGCGGCAAAAUGAUAAUCCAAGCGCAUGUUCAUUUUUUAUGUAAGGCAUACAAAGUUUACAUUCCUUUGCCUUUUUUAUGUAAGGCAUACAAAGUUUACAUUCCUUUGCCUUUUGGAUAUCUUGUUUUUUUGUUUGAAAGUUCAUAUUUAUAUUCGUUUGUCUUCUACUCAUAUUGGUUGUUUCAAAGGGGAUUGAAGUUUGUUUCUUCUAAGCUCACUUGCUAAUCGUAUGUCUCUUGUUGAUGGUUAUAUAUUCUAGGUCUUCAAAGGGUGUGUUCUAGUGGUGAACUUUAUCUCUCUUUAUGCAUUGCAUUGCAUCCACACACCGAGGUUUAGUUUAUUAUGCAUUUCAAUUCUCUUAAUUGUUCAAUAUUUUGUUUAUCCCAACAUAUUGCCUCUUAUUUUUGUACGGAUUGGGAUUGGCUACUGUUUUUGGAAGUUCAUGAUGUGUUCCUCUUCACUUCUAUGGUACAUCGGUUAUUUUCCUUUUAUCUUCUUAUUAUGGUUUGUGUUGUUCGUCGGUUUGCUUUCUGGUCUUUAGGUUGUUCUUUCAUUCGUUUAAAAAAAAAAAAAAAAAAAAAAAAGGGGGUCGUACGAACGCUGUCAUGACGUUCGAACGUUGAGGUGGGCAGAUCUUUUUUCCAACGUACGAACGUUAUUAGAACGUACGAACGUAGGGUCUGACAGAUGUUUUUUUUUAGAGUCCCGACGUACGAACGUCUUUAGGACAUACGAACGUCCCUGAUACAGUCCGGCCCAUUUGCUGUUUAAAUUCAAAUUUUGGUUAAACCUUUUGCCCAACUGUUUCAUUCAAAUCGUGCUAUCUCUCUCUUCGCACGAACAAGUGAGGUUCCUUCUUUCAAGGCUCUACACUCUGCUUUCGAAAGGAAACAAAUCUUCUCUCUUUGUAUCUCUCUUAUUUCUCUCUUCCUCUCUUCGUUCUUCUAGCUUGUAUAAGCAAGUCCCUCCCUGCUGUGUUCUAAGUGUUCAAAAGAGUUUUGUGGUGUUUAUCUUCUCACUCUUUCGGCAAUAGUAAGUUCCUCAAUUCUCCUUUUCAUUGCUUGUUAAUGGUUAUUUUUGAUGGAUUUUUUUUUUUGUUGUGAGUGAUUAUUCAUGGGGUAACAGAAUUUGAUUUUUAAAGAUUAAAUUCCUUGGUAUCGCUGGGAUUUUUUUUUACUUGGCACUUCGUUCCUCCUCUAGUCUUAAUCAUCUGCUAUGUUUAGUGUGAAUGUGAUUGUUGGUUUGCUGUUUUACUAUUGGAUUUAGUUUCUGCGCACUAACUGUUUGACAAAAUGUCUACAUGACUGCAAUGGUUAGUUUAUCUUGUUUGGGAUUACAUUUCACUCACACUUUUCGUCUGUUUCCUGUUGUGAUUGUGUAGACGAUGCCUCCAAAGCGCGCACGCACCACUCCCUCCACCAUUGCAUCAUCUUCUCGCGCUCCACGGGGUCGAAGCUCCACUCCGGCCUUGUUGCCUCCUUCCACAUCUCUUGGUGCUCAUCCUCGGGCAAAAGCCAUUGUUCCUGAGCGAUUCUUUGACUUGGCAGACAUCGCUGCUACCCCUCUUGGGACUUCUCAACUUGGCAACAUAUCCCUCUUCUUUGAGACUCGGAAUUGGCUAAGGGUGGCUCAACCAAUCACCAAGUACUCGGUUGAGCAUACGAUAGCCUUCUAUGAGACAAAGACACCCUCGCAAAAUCGAUCGAGUUUUUCGGUCUUGAUUGAAGGUCGGCGAUACACCAUUUCUCCUAAGGUGAUACGCGAGGCGUUGGGUAUUGAUGGUGACUUUAUUCCUGAAGAUGCUGUUUCUGUCAGAUGGCCCGUUCCGGAUACAAUUCAAAUUGACUUUGUCAAUCAGGUUCAGCAGAUGUUUAUUGAUGGUGUCACGGAAAGGUAUCAUGCCAAGCACUACAGCGCCAUCCUCUUGCACAUGGUUGCCCAUUCCAACAUCUACCCCUCCAAGGGUAUAAGAUUAUCAUGACCGAUGACAUGGUCAAAUUGGUGGUCUGUAUGUCGGUGCACCAUCUUCAUCUCUCUGAGGUCAUCUACACUCGAAUGCUUCAGAUCGAUGCAGCUAAGGGUACUCUUCCUUUCCCUAGCUUUAUAAUGACUAUACUCAAGCACUUGGGUUUUCAGGGACAGUAUAUGGGGGUGAGCCCUCCAAAGUUUGUUGGCCACGACUGGGUCAACGCUAUCAAAAAGGGCUGUCAGUCUCGAAAGUUGGCCUUCGAGUCCGUGGGUGCGCGUCUGACGCAUCACCUCAUUUGGGGAGGCAGGGCGCUUGUUCGCAAUGAUGAUUUUGAUCGGGCUUUGACCUCUGGACGCCCCAUCCCAGCCUCUGCUAGGGGAAAUCGGGCUGUUGCAGCCAUUGAUGCUCGGGUUUCCUCUCUCCGACGUCAUCAGGAUCAUAUGGACGCUCGGUUAGAUCGUUUUGGGGUCAUUCUCUCUCAUCAUGAUGUCAUGAUCAGUGAUAUUCAUGCGAUGAACGUUGCUCAGAUGCGUCAUCUACAGCUGGACUUCACUCCCACAGACUUGCCUCCGUAUCCGGAAGAGGUGCCUCAAGUUCCAGGUGAGAGUGAUGGUGAUGACUCAGAAAGUGAGGACGAGGGUGAUGGUGAACACAUUGAUGGUGACUCGGACUCCGAGUAGUUGGUUUUCUGGUUUACUCUCCACAUUUUUGUACUUAAUUUUUUUUUUUUUUUUUUUUUUGCUAUAUCGGUUUGUUUCUAUUUUUUUUGGAUAUUGAGCAUGUUAUUGGAUAUUGCUAUUUUAAUAUUAGUUCAAGUUUUUUUUUGUUUUGCAGUAAAUUUCUGCUAAUUAGGUAAUGGACCUCUCUUAUUGGGCCCAUGUUAGGUUUCCUCUUAUUUUUCUUAUAUAUAGGGGAGUCUUUUCCUCUUUUACUCCUAUUGUGUCUUCUUACUUCUUGCUAGUUCUCUCUUUGUUCUUCAGAAUCCUCUAUGGCAGAAUAUGAACUUCAUGGAAUUUUUAUUCCGACUAUUGGUUAUGUGUCGUUCAUGGUAAUGGAGUACAAGAACAAUGCUAAGGUUUGUCGUUUAUGUCGCGUUCCCCAUGGAUAUGACUAUAUUCAUCGUCCUUUUCUUAAUCCUUGUUUGGUUCGUGUCAAUCAUUGGGAGAGGCUACCGGGACAUCUUCAAAAUCACAUCUUGGAGUUGGUUGGAUACCCGAAGGUUCCAGGACUUGCUGCUCCUCUUACCGACUGUGGCUUGGACAGCAGAAUUGGGGAGUUAUUUUGUACGCGUGCUGAUAGUCCUGUGCAAACUCGGUGGAAUAGCUAUUCGGCUCGUGCGAAAGCUUUAUGUCCUAUCUUAAGCUUUAUGUUCUUAUGAUCGCUCGGUGGAUUAGACUUCGGCUCGUGUGGAAGCUUACUUCUCCAAGCUUCCUCUAGGUCAUUGGGAACGGGUUUUUCGAAUUCGUUAACUCAAGCCUUAUGUUUUUGUCGUUUUGUUUUUUAUGUUUAUGGAUUUCUCUGUUUGGUUAUUAGUUGAUUUUCUGAACUUUUAACAGUUGGGUUCGGUUUAUAUUUUUAUCUGUUUUGUAUUCUUUGUUUGGUAUUAAUUUCUUCUUCUUGAUUAUUGGUUUAUUGUUGUUCUUUUCCUUUGUUGGUUGGUUAUUUUGUUCACUUGUUGUGACAAAAAGGGGGAGAUUUAUGACUCUAAUUACUAACAAUCGUCUUCUUGUUGUUAGGUUAUUUUUGGGUCAUGUUUCAGGUAUGCUACACGUAUGGGGGAGUGAACGUGUUGAUGAUUUUAGAUGUUAUAUUGUUAUGGGGGAGUUCGAGUGUCAAAAAUAGUUUGGAGCUCAUGAAGUAUGGGGGAGUUGCUCGAAGGAACUUCUGUUGAAUCCUUGAUUGCUUCGGAAAUUUCUAGUUGCUUCCGUUCGAUCUCUGAUGGUUAAAGCAUCUUCCUAAAGCUGGAUAACAAGAAUUGGUGACUUGUUAUGUGUUUCUAUUUUGAGUGAUUUUGUAGGCAUGUUUUAUAAAUGCCAUGGUUUGGGAUUGUAAGCACGUUUUAUAAGUGCUAUUAGAGUCAUAGGUUUUUGUCACAAAAUCAAUGUCAAAGGGGGAGAUUGAAACCGGCACGAAGUGGUUUGACAUCAAUUUUGUGACAAAGUGUCCUUGGUUAUUUCGCCUUGAGUUCAUUGUUAAGAAAACCGAGUUGUACGCGCGUCGUCCCGUGUCCUUGCCUUCGCGUCGUGUGUCAUUGGUGUGAUUUCUGGUCCAGGACGUACGUACCUCUUAAGGACGUACGUACGUAUCGAAUGACAGCAAGAUUGUUGGUGGUCUGGACGUACGAACCUUUACAGGACGUUCGUACGUCACAGCAGGCAGCAGGAGUAUUUUCGUUUGGAGACGUACGAACGUCAUAUCGACGUACGUACGUCCAAAGUGGGCUUUUACUAUUUCGGCCCAUUUUCGGUGGUUUUCCAACCCUAUGUAUAAAUAGGGUUUCUCUUCCAAAGAACAAGUGAGUUCUUUGGCCGUCCAAUUCACCUCUUGUUUCUUGGAGUUUGUUUAGGUUUUGGUUUAGGUUGUUUUGGUGAUUGAACUCAUCUUCUUCUUCCCCAUUCAUCUUCUUCUUCCUUUUUCCUUUCAUUCAUUAUUGAAUAGUGAUUUAGCUUCGAGUCUUCUUGUGUGUUCAUCAAGAAGUCGAGUUUCCUUGUGUGUUCAUCAAGGAACUCUGGUGUAAGCUUGUUUCAUAGUUCGGCUUCGAGUCUUCUUGUGUGUUCAUCAAGAAGUCGAGUGUCUUGUGCGUACAUCAAGGUGCUCUGGUGAAGUCAAGGUGUUAGAGAUAACCAGGAGUAUCAACUCGCAGUGAGUGCAGGUAGUUGAUAGGUUUGUACAUCUCUUUUCAUCUAGUGGAUUUAUUUGUUGUCGCGAGGACAACCGUGGACGUUUCCCAUAUUGGGUUUUACCACGUUAAAAAUUUCUGCGUGUUAUUUACUUUCUGCAUAUUGUUUGAUUUGUUUGAAUUGUUAUAUUAGCACUAUUUGUAGUUUCUCAAUCUCAUCUCUGUCUACACAAGGCUUUCAUUGUAACUAUUCGAUCAAUAUAUACAUAUCUCGAGUUUGUGGAUCAAAGUUUUGCACCCACAUAAAUAUUGGACAAUUUCUUCGUAAGCUACUUAUUUUCUUAAAUUGAUUUGUUUACAAAAUGUCUGGUCAUCUUCAAUAAAUGAUAUUGUUUUAAUCACUAUUUUAUUUAAUUAACACACCGAAAUUGGGCUCACAUCUGAUAUUCAUAUGCUUUCCAGUUUUCAGGAAGUCUGCACUUGAUGGACUGCAUGCCCAAU
rnacentral:lncRNA from 1 species